rnacentral:lncRNA from 1 species
CUGAGACCCAGGGUACAGCAAGGAGCCAGGCCAUGCAUCAAAGGCUUCAUCGUGUGUUAUCAAGUCCUAGGGAUCCAGGAAUUCAGAAGGAAGGGCUGGGGGUCAGAUAGGCUUCUUGGAAGAUCUUGGGUUUGGUGACAGUUUUGAAGACUAGGUAAGUAGAUUUAGGAGAGGCUUUCCACGCCCAGGGCCAAAAGGUACCCUGAGAUGCCAGGGAGAUGGGUUGUUAGGAGAUGAUAACAGAAAAAUUAAAGUUUUUCUGUAGCAUGUGGCCUAGGCCCCUGAGCAUUUGAGCUACUCAAGAAAAUGGGGUGUUUAACUGAACAUGUAGUAGUGGGUACAGAGCUCAGCACAGCCCUCUGUUCACAGUGAUUGGAAACUUAAUCUAGUAACCUGCAAAGAGGAGAUUUGCUUCCUGUCACGCAAACUAAAGGUAACAUUCUUUUAAUGCAGUUGUUUAUUCUCAUUUUGUUUUAACUUCAAUGCUUGGGAUCUUGAAGCUUGCUUCAUGUAUGUCAAAAGGGAGGGCUCUGCUAUAUAUCAGUAUCUCUAAAUAUAAGGCAGUCUAAGCCAGGGUUCAUAUAUAAAUGAGUAUCCAAGCAAGAGAAUUUUUUUUUCAGGGGUCUUUGUUCAGUGCUGGCUUUAGGAGGAGAUAAAAUAUGAGCUGAACUUGGGUUUGAAUCAAAAGAGAGCAGGGCUUGGGAGGAAUUCAUUCCUGGGAGGAAUGAAAUGAGGAUGUGCAAUGUGGCAAUAGGAGGUGAUUAUCUGUAGGAAUAUGUAGUGCUUUGUGGUUUUCAGAAACUUUUUUUUUUCUAUCUACGGUAUUUCACUUGAUCCUAUGACAUCUUUGGAAAGUUAGGCAUGACAGGUUUUAUUACCCCAUUCUAUAGAUGAGGAACGUGAGAAUGGAGAGUUUAGGUUUUCCUUAAAGAUGAUAUAGCUGUCUAGCAGCAGUGUAGGUCUAGAAUCUGACUUUUUCUCUCUCAUUCUGGGGCUCUUCCGCUGCUAGUGAGCUGUGGAGCAGUGUGGGGCAGUGAAAAGUUCCUGUACCAGUCAGGUGUCAGAUGAUGUUUCUCUUCCUGACUCUAGGAAGAGGGAAGCAGCCGAAGAAUCCAGGAGGCAAAGUUGGUCCAGGCUCUGUGGACUGGGACCUCUGCCUGAGCUGGUAUUUUAACAAUGUUUCCCUGUUAGACAGCAAACUUAGUGCAGGGCCACGCACACAGUAGGUGUUCCAUAAACAUUUGUUGAUGCUGUAGACUCAGUACAACUGGCUCACAGCAGGCCCACCGUACCUAAUCGCCUCAGAAAGGAGUGGGAAGAGAUUGAAAAUAAAAAUCUCAUCAAUAAUAGAAUCUGUUGUUUUCCCUCCUCUGCCCAGGGAGACUUUGGUUCCUCAGUUGCAUUUCCAGUAUUUUAAGAUGGGAAUAAUUUUCACAGUGGCAGGUUCAGCUGGUGAGAUGCUGUUUUAAUACGAAGGAAAAUGCUAGAAUAGAAUUUAAGAAUAUUAAGAAGGGAUUUGGUUUCUGACAGAAAUAUUAGCUGUAAAGGCCGGUAUGAAGAUUUUAGAGAAAUUUAAUUAAAAUUUAAUCUUCUUUCUAAUUAAAGUUUCCUUUAAUUAAACUUAAAAUUAAAUUUACUUUAAUUGGAGGAAUUUAAAGGGUAUUACCUUUUGAGUGUCAAUCAUUUUGAAAGAAAAAAUUUAUGCUGCUUUGUCUAGUUUAAAAUGAGGAUUGGUGUCAAAUUUCUAGAAAAGUAAUAAAAAUAUUGUAUUUAAAUACAAAUCAGCUCUCCUUGGUAUUUGGUUCCCCAUUUGCCUGGUUCAAAAACAUUGUCUUGAGGGGCGCCUGGGUGGCGCAGUCGGUUAAGCGUCCGACUUCAGCCAGGUCACGAUCUCGCGGUCCGUGAGUUCGAGCCCCGCGUCGGGCUCUGGGCUGAUGGCUCAGAGCCUGGAGCCUGUUUCCGAUGCUGUGUCUCCCUCUCUCUCUGCCCCUCCCCCGUUCAUGCUCUGUCUCUCUCUGUCCCAAAAAUAAAUAAACGUUGAAAAAAAAAAUUAAAAAAAAAAAAAAAACAUUGUCUUGAGUUGUGGUUUUCCUUUAUGUUGGACAUCUCUGGAGAAGGUCAGGUUUAGACCAUCAAGGGCUACAGUAUGACAGUUCUACAUUUAUUUCUCCAUUACUCAGGCUCCCAAGGGAGCUGCCUUCCCUUCUGGCUAUAUUGGUCUAAGUCUCCCUCAUGCUUUUUAAAGGAGAACCUACUCAAUCCAUAAGUCUGGGGAAAUGCUUGCCUCCUGUCUUUCUCUGGGGCUCCAAGCCCCUUUUGUGCUCAUUCCUUCCCCCAAACCUUUUCUGUGUGAUAUAUUAGAAUCUUUUCAAGCCCAAAUGCCCUCCCUUCAAAAACUGAGGCUGAAAGUGAGUUACUUUCUUCUUCUAGGUUGGCUCCCACUUAUUAAUUCACCAUUUACAACAGUAGCAUCCUCAUCAUUUGAUAAAUCCUUCAUGGUAGCCAAUGCAGCCAUAACUUCAGUAGGCCCUGAUCUCCUUUCUAGAUUGGUGAGAGCAAUAGCCUCUAAUGGCCCUGUUCCCCAUUCUCUUCCCCAUCUAUCCUGCAUGCUAUUCCCAAAUCAUUGGUCUAAAAAUAUCUCUCUUUGUCUCCUGAAAACUCCAAACUUCUAACCCUGGCAUUCAACAACUCUAACAGUUUGGCUUCAGUUUACCUCUUACACACUCAUCUCCCUUGACUUUGUACUUAGUCUUCUCCCACCAUGCUAGUUACUCAUCUAAACAUACCUCAAGCUUUUUUCCAUACUGUUGUUCCAGCCUAAGAUGUUUCCUGUUUCUUUAAGAUCCUGAUGAAAUUUUAAAUCAUUCACAAAGCAACCCCUUAUCAAUCUGGCCUGGCAUGAUGACUCAUUGUUCUGUACCCUUGUGAUGUACAUUGUGCAUACUAAUGUUUGUAUCCUUUAUUCAUAUGUAUUCUAUGUUUGACAAUUUCUGAAGCUUGAAAUGUGUUAUCUUCCCAUUUGAUCACUUGAGCCAUAUGUGCAGUAUGUCACAGAAAUACUAGUAUUCAUAUUUCAUAUCUGACCAAUAUGAAGCUCCAAAAGGUUUUGGCUUCCUUAGGAUCUUACAGCCUAUGAGUAACAGAGUGAAGAUUAGAACUCGGGUUCUCUCUAUCCAUACAGUUUCCAGCAAAACUCUGGAUUUUGGCUUCAAAUCUUCAAAUAGUUUAAAUACUUAAGAAGAGAGGACAAAAAGGCUUUUAAGGAUUCAGAUUUGAGAGCUGUUGGGACUUGCUGAGCUAGUUAUAUAGAUAAUCUUUUGCUAUUAUAUUCAAAGUAAGUACGACACAAAUAAAGAUCUUCAAAGGAGAAUAAAUGACUGACUUGCAAUCACUAAUGGAGAGAUAUACUCUCAAGAGCAUUUCUGUUUCCUUCCUUCCUUCCUUCCUUCCUUCCUUCCUUCCUUCCUUCCUUCCUUCCUCCCUCCCUUCCUCCCGCCCUCCCUCUGUCCCCUUUCCUCCCUCUGUCCCCUUUCUUCCCUCUGUCCUCUUUCCUCCCUCCUCCCUUUCUUCCUUCUUUUGGAAAAGAACAAAAGUAACUGCAGUAAAAGACAGAAUGCUGCAGGAAAGAUAAGUAAUUAAAGUGGUAGAUAAAAUGGACCGGGCUUUAAGGACAGUUCUUGUGUAGUUGCUGGGCACCUCAGAAACUACUCCCUUGCUUUUGUCUGGAACAAGGAAUGGUCUCCGUCAAGGGCAGCCAUGGACAGGCUGGGUAAACAGGAGGCUAACCACUGUACUUCAUGGAAUAAGGCACUAAUCCAACCAAAUAGUUUCUCUUGGAGGAAUGAAUGCUAUAAGCACACAGGGCUGGUGGCUUGCCUGAGGUCAUGGUGAGGCCUGGGGUAGAUGAACUGCUUUCCUCGGAAGUCGGAAGCCCAGGACUCAGAAUGGCUUUACUGCUCCUGAGGCAGUUGCCUUGCCGUCCUGCUUCCCUUUGUGACCUUACAAAAAUGAUCAUUACAGAAGACAUCUGAAUAUGUCUUAUAUCUUAAAAACUUAGGAUCCUGAUUAUUUCACUUUAUGUCUCAAAAUCUUUAAGAAUUUUGGAUCCAGUACCUUUCAAAUGUGAUUGAUCAGCCUGUUUUUAAGACUGCCUGUCAUAUACAUACUCUUCUAAACAUUCCUCUCUUACUUCUGUAAAUGAGGAGCCAGUAAGUUUUUUUCUGUAAAAGGCAAGUUAGUAAAUAAUUUAGGCUUUUUAGGCCCCAUAGUCUAUACUGUAACCAUUCAAUUGUGUAAGUGGCUACUUACAGAUAACUUUGCACAAUAGAGACAGUACAAAAUGAAUAAGUAUGACUGUGUUCCACUAAAACUUUACUAAUGGACACUGAAAUUUUAUUCAAAGUUUAUAUAUUUCAUGUCAUUUUCACUUAUUCUGAAAUGUUAUUUGAAAAAUUUUUUUUUCAUUCACUUACAAAUGUAAAAACCAUUCUUCAGCCACUGGCUGUACAAAAACAUGUGGUAGAUCAGAUUUGCCUCCAGGGCCUAACUUUACGGGCCCCACUGUCUCCAUAGAUAUUGUACUCUUUUCUCACUGGGUCAUUUUUAUCCCUGGGGAUACCUCCGGUUUUCUCACUUCCACAUCUUAGUUGAUGUUGGUUUCUCAAACUGAAAAAUCUUAUCCUCAGCCUGGGUUUGUUGAAAUUCUGCCUAUGUUCAAAAUCUAGCUCAAAUAUAGAAUUCAGAUUAUAUUCCAGAUUUCCUAUUCUUGAGGCAUACUAGGAAUAGGAAGUGGUUAAGACUUUGAAAUCACACUACCUGGAUCUGAAUCCUGGUCUCACUGCUUACUAACUCCAUCAUCUUGGGCAGCCUAAUAUUAUUAAACCUCAUCUGAAAAAUGGAGAUAAUAACAGUACUCAAUUCACAGUUCAGAGGGCUAUUGUAAGGAUAAAAUAUUAUAAGCAAGUAAAGAGCUUAGCACAGUACCUGACCAGGAUGAAGUAAUUUGUUCAUGUUAGCAGUUGUCAGCUCUUGUGUCCUGGGUCCUGUGCUUAAUGGUAUACUGCCCUUCUGCAGUUUAUAGAAGAAACAGUUUUGCAGUGAGAACAAACUCAAUGCAAUAUUCUCUGUUUUAGCAAGUGUCUUCAUUCCUAUGUCUAAUUUCUUUCACUUGGUUUAGAAAUAACUUAAAAGAACAAAUGUGUUUUUCCCUCCCUUCUCUAUGUUCACCUCCACAAAGGAAAUUUGGAAUUUUCUCCUUUCUAUGUUUCUUUUUUUUUUUAAAUUUUAGGUUUGUUAUAUGUGGUGAUAGAAUUAAUGUAGUUUCUUCUUUUAACAAAAAUUUAUGCUCUCAGAGUCUUAUCCGACCACCACAUCUUGGUUUGGGCACUAGAACCAUCAAUUUAUAUCAACCCAGUUCCAGGAAUAAUGUUGGUUUAUUAAUUCUUUCUGUGGAGUAUAGAAGCAGGGCCAGGAAACCGCAGAAAGAAUUUAUUUCCUUUCACUUGCCUUUUGAUAAAGUGUAAAGAACAUCAGGUAAUUAGGAGUAGGAGGGUAAGACUUUUUUUUAAUUUAAAUUUACUUUAAACCAUGUCAGAUACAAGUUGGAAACCAGUUUAAACUUUUUGAAUUCAAGUGUAGUUUUUCAUAAUCAAGGAUCUUUGCUUUCUAUGGUUACUUCAUCUAUCAUUUCACUCAUUCAGGGCAUUUAAUGAACACUUAGAGUUCACCUUAGCUAGGUUGUCUAGGGGAAAGAAGAUAAAUGAGGGAUAGUCAUAAUUAACUCUAGUAGCUUCCAGGCCAUGAGAGUACAGAACCAUACAAACAAUGAACUAUAACAUCAGUCAGAGUGAAAUGCCCUGGGUUAGGCACACAGCCACUGUGUGUAGGAAGGAGUAGCUAAUAGUGGUAGUCCAAGGGGAAAAAGCUCAAGGGAAGUUGGAUGGGUCUGAAGAUUCGUGAAAGGGCUCCCCCAGCUAAUGGAACAGCAUACUGUGAAGAUGUAUGGCAAUUUCAGGAACAACAACAACAAUGACAGUAGCUUGUUUGAAAAGAGCAAAUAAUCUGCAGAGGGAUAUGAGAGAGGAGACUGAGAAAUCCACACCCACCACUGAAAAGCCUAUCAUAUCCUUCUUGGAAGAAGGCAAGGACACCCAACUGAAGAUGAUAAUUAUCUUUUUAAUUCAGAAAAUUUAAAGAAAACGUUAUUUAUAGAACCAGAUAUUGACAUACGAACAUUCCUGAUUGUUCAAUGGUAAUCUAUAGGAAUUGUGAUCACCAAAAGGAAUUUCUAAGAAUGAAGCAUACACCUUUUAAAAAGCAUUGUCAAGUUCUCCCUCUCUGCUUCAAGCCAAAGAAUCAUAGAAGCUUACAAUAGUGGGUUGCCUGGCUAGUUCAAGUUGAUAGCAUGCAACUCUUGAUCUUAGGGUCUUGAGUUCAAGCCCCAUUUUGGGUGUAGAGAUUAAUUUUUAAAAACUUGGAAUAGAAAGCAACCAUAAAUUUCUUCUGAUCCAAUAUAUCCAGACAUUUUUUUAAAAAAAUUAAUGUUUACUUAUUUUUGAGAGAGAGAGAGAGAGAGCACGCGCGUGCGCAAGCGAGCAAGUGGGGGAGGGGCAGAGAGAGAGGGAGACAUAGGAUCCAAAGCAGGCUCCAGGCUCUGAGCUGUCAGCACAGAACCCGAUGUGGGACUCGAACCCAUGAACUGUAAGACCAUGACCUAAGCCAAAGUCGAUGCUCAACCAACUGAGCCACCUAGGCGCCCCUAAAUUGUUAACAAUACAAAAGGGAGUAUAUGUCAUACAAAAGAUGGUACAAAACAAGAUCUGUUUAACUUCAUUGUCUGAUGAAUUAAAAUAAAGCAAAGACCCAGCAGAGACCCGUGAUUAUAAAAUAAAUGAAGACUAUCAUAGAAAUGUAUUUUUAGAAGAUGGCAGCAAGCCAGAUUUUACCCCUCACAAGUUUCAGGGACUCUUCAUCUUGGACAUUCUUUAUAAGCACUAUAUUAUUAUAAGUGGAAAAUGCAAUGUCUUAAAUAAAACUGUAUUUAAAAUUGGCACCAAAAAUGUACAAAAAAUGAAUAGCAGAUUUCCCCCUGCUCAAAGUCUGAGAAUGACAGAUGUCCAAAUGGGGAAAUCUGCUAUUACCACGUGCUGACCAGAUUGGGCGCUGACCAAAUUGAGCCCUUUGAAUAGAAUGUUACUUCGAGUUUAUUUCCGGCACUUUGGGGGUUCAUCUUCAGUGACCCUGCUGCUGCAGUUCUUACCAUUUCCCACAGAAGCCAUCCUGCUGUCUCAUUGACUCUUGGUUAGGAGCUCUUCCCUUGCAGUAGAGCAUAUAUUUACCUUCCUUCAAUCUCAUGUCAUUGUUCUAACUAACACCCUCUUGGGUGAAAUAGAACUAUUUUUCACCUCUUUUGGGACUUGUGAUCUUUCGAUAUUUGCCCACAGUUCCCUCUCCAGCAUUACCACCCCAUCUAGAUAACUUAGCUCUAAUAUUAGUAUAAAUGUUCCUAAUUUAAAUGCUAAAUCAGUAGGUUAUUUUUAAAGACUGUGUGCUGGGAGAAGUGAGGAGGGAGCAAGAAAAGGCUGUCGAUUUAGAGGAGUGGAUUGCAAGCCUGCAGAGGUGAACGACUGUGUGUGUCUUGGUGAACUACCUGCCAUGUUCCUUGGCUGGUGAAGAGGGGAGAAGUGGCAGUAGUCAACAAGAGACCAAUUAAAGUCUGACCUCUUUGUCGGCACGGGUCCCGGCUGUGGGUGUCUGGGCCAGGGGGUGGCCUCUAACUACCUCUUAACCUAUGCAACUGGUUUAAAAACUUCUCUUCGGAGAUUAGAUGGAGGUGGGGGUGGAGGGGCAUGCUGGAAAGACGCUGUGGUUUGAGAAUGGUUUUCAAUAACAUGGUCCCCUUUGGAAGCAGACGGUGAAGUUGAGUAAAACCUUCAGGGAGAAAAGCAAUCAGAAGGUACUGGGAGGAAGAAGUGCAAGGGAGCAGAGUAGGCAUUGCCAAUUUGUUUUAGAGAACACAAGGGAAGAAUUUUCAAGGACAAAGGGUGAGAAGCAAAAGGGGAAAGAAAUAUACACCCUGAAAACACCACACCACAUCACACACACACACACACACACACACACACACACACACGGGGUUCUCUGGUAUUCUGUGCAGCAGGAUUGACAGGUUCUUGUCUGCAGGAUCCCUUUGUCAUCCAGAAUCUAUCAAACCGGCAGUUGAGAGAAGGCACUUUUCUGGGAUGACAGUGUUAAUGAUUAAGGACUUUCUUGUUGAGUUUAGCUCUCCUGACAAACUGGUGUUAUAAUUAAAUUCACACACCUCCCUCCUACCCUUCAAAUUACCAUUACAUGAGGGUAUUUAUUUAUUUAUUUAUUUCUGUUUGUUUCAGUUGCUCUUGGCACUUCUCCCCUUGAACUCCUUCCUCUGAGAAAAAUUUCUGCGGGAUUCAGGAUUUUAUUUUAUUUUUCCCUGAGAAACUACCUUGUUUUCUUAGUCUGGCUGAAUAGAAGUUGGAUCGUUGAAUAUUUCCAACACUAUCGUGCUAGAGAUUUCUUAGGUUGGCCUGGGCACUAGUGUCAAAGGUGAACAUUGUGUAAGGCCACUACCAAAUUUUCUGGAAUAAUAUGCCUUGACUCUAAGAGCUUCAACCUCAUCAUUAAUUAGUUCUGUGUUUUGACCCUAUUGAAUAGGCAUGUUAUAGCAUAAAUUAGUAAGAAUGAUUGAUGUUAUAACUUUAAAACAAGGAUCUUACCUUCUAUCUAUUCCACUCUUCAGAUUUAUUUGCAAAUACUUUCCAGCAUGUUCCUUUUGAUAUAAUGAGGAUAGUUUCUGUGAAGUCGAAACCUUUUGGGCUCCUAGUUGUGCUCAUUGAUUUUCUCUGCUUUCACUAAGUUUAUCCCACUUCUACUCCCUCUCAAGUUCCAAAUCAAGGUCUACCUCUUCUAAGAAGCUUUCUAUGACUCUGCCUAUUUUUGACAAGUCAUUCUAGAUGACCUUCUCUGUGUAUGUAUAUAUGUACGUAUGUAUGUAUGUAUCACCUGUCUCUUUACCAAUUAAAUAGACUGUUUUUUUAGAGCACUUUUAGGUUCAUAGCAAAAUUGAGUGGAAGGUACAGAGAAUUCCCAUACACCCUUGCCUUCACACAUGUAUCCCAUUUAUUUUUCAUUCAUUCAGAACAUUCUUAAAUUUUUAUAGUUUUGGUGUGUGUUCAAUUUUUUUAAAGUUUUAUUUAUGUACUUUGGGAGAGAGAGAGCAAGGGAGUGCAUGCUGGGGCGGGGCAGAGAGAGAGGGAGAGAGAGAGAAUCCCAAGCAGAUUCCACACUGCCAGCACAGAGCCCCAUGUAGGGCUGAAACCCACAAACUGUGAGAUUAUGACUGAGCCUAAAUUCAGAGUCAGACGCUUAACUGACUGAGCCACGCAGGCGUCCUGUGUGUGUUUAAUUUUUAUCUUUUCAUUAGGGAGGGCAGGAGUGUUGUCUUCUCUCAGAGUGUCCUGGGGGAUGCCAGUGCUCAAAAAUGUCACGUUGGUUGAUAAUGCCAUAAUUUUUACUUAGUCGUGAAAAAGGUAAAAAUUGGUGGUACAUUUCUUCUCUUGUCUUCCUUUUUAAUGGUUGUAUUGUUGUUUUUAUAAUAUGUUAGAAAUAAUAAGCACAUGGCUAAAAUUCAUAAUGUACAAUAUCUCUAUCCAGAUUUAGUCUUGGGGAUACACCAACCUGGCUAAUCAUUUGAAAUAAAAGGCUGUUUGUAACAACUGCACUUAGUACACAAGAAACUGUGUAGUUGGUUUUCUUCAGAUCCACCCAUCCUUUCCCAUCUUCUGGAAAAGGAACUUCAACUGAUCUUCCACUCAUGUUAGAGGGAUGCCUUUGUAUACCAAUGAUUAUGCCAAAUGAAAUGAAAAGUUUUAGAAAGUCUCCUUGAUCUCUGCUUCCUCACCUGAACAGAUCGCUUUAAUCUAUUUAUGCCCAGAGUGGAGGAAAACUCACUCAUCUGGGAACCUUAUGACUAAGGGUAUUGAAAGGAAACUUCAAUAAUAUGAUGCCCUCACAAGGGUAGGAUCAGAAAUGAACUAAUUUUGAAUCUUGUGCUCCUAAUGGGGUAAAAAAAAGAAAUUCUCUAUCCAGACAGCGCUGUUUUUUUCCGAGCAGGAGUUCGUGAAGUAAGUCCUUAAAAUCACAUCUGUUCACCUUAUGUGACGGGAAGGAGAGGCGACUUCUGAAACAGGGUGAUUGAAAUGGAAAUACAUUCAAAUAAAUGGACUCUGGAGCUCCACUUUGUUCUAAAUAACCUCUACUGUAAGUGAUCAGCUUAUUUGAAAGUAUGAUGGGUGGGCUAUCGGGGCAAGGCUGUAUCUGAUUUUUUUUUUUUUUUAAUCAUUAGUCUAUCUUCCUUUUUAUUCAACCUUUUGGAAUAAGGUCUUACACUCAGGGCACAAUACAGGGUGGGGGAGCUGAGCCUUCAAAGGACACUCUGCACAUGUUUCUAAUGGGUUUUCAAGUGCAUUCUUCUCCCCUUGGACUAUGUCUCUUUCAGAACCCCUAGAUUUGAAAUUUGCUGUAUUAUCGCUAGGUGGUCAGAAACCAAGGAUAUGCCAUAAGUAGUCUUCUGUAUAUGAGGAGAAGAAAUUAGAUUUUAUUUUUUGAUCAAGAAAGCCAUGUGCUCAAUAUCCUGCAGCAGUAACAAUUGCACCUUGCCAUAGCACAACUGGCUUCCAUGGUUAAAGGUAUCUGAGUUGCAUGGGAAUGGAGGGUCAGUUACAAUGAUUUCUACAUAUUUGCAUAUGAUUAGCUCAGGUUUUUUCUUAAAACCUCUGACUUCACCUUAAAGUAGCCUCAAGUUUUAUGUAGCUUGAUCUCUACAUUGUCCCUGUUAACUGAGUUGCCUCUUCUAUAUUUUUGCUCACUUGAGUGAGUGCCCUUUAUUCCAUUCUUUGAAGAAGAAAGAUGAAGAAAAAUUUCCCCUUUAUUUAAAACAUGGUAUCUUUCAGGCAUUUAUAUUUGGGGCUUUACAUUCUGCAUCUUAUUUUAUCCUUUUAGCAAACCUAAAAAAAAUAAAAUAUUACCCUCAGUUUAUAGUCAGGAAAUUUGAGGCUUAGAAAGGAUUGAAUUGUCCAAAAUUACACAACUUAUAAGUGGUGAUAUCAGGAUGCCAAUUCUCAGUCAAGGUUCAGCCUUGUCUUCCUUUCUCCCCUAAAUCUGAUCUAUAUUUUAUUUAUUCAUGGACUCAGCUAGAUUUUCAGUUCCUGGACAAAGCUGUUUAUCUAUUCUUCCUCCUUUCAUGCUUUCUUCCCUUCCUUCUCCCUCUUCCCUUUAAAUAAUAGGCUGGUGGCACAAAAUUCAAACAGUCUAGAAAUCUAGAGAGCAAAUUUCGUGUCUCUUUAUCUUCUUGUUCCAUUCUUUCUCCCAUCUCUUGAGGUAACAUUUGCAACAUACUGUGUGUCUUUCUGGAUAGUUGUCUGUAUUCUUAGGCAUAUACAAAAACACAUGCAUACAUAUGUAUAUAUAUAGUAACACAUAAAUACUUCUAUAUUCACACCUACAUUUAUAGUUUGGAUUGAUAUUUUUCCAUAAGUGGGAUUAUACUACAUAUAUUGUCAUGAGACUUGGUAUCUUUCAUAUAAAGUAUCUGUUCUAGUUAUUUGGUUCCAUAAUAAAUUAUCCCAGAGCUUAGUGGCAUAAAAUGAUCAUUUAUUAUGUUCAUGGAUUCUAUGGGUCAGAAAUGUAGAGAGAACAUGGUAUGGAAGGUGUGUCUCCACUUACCAAUGUCUGGGGCUUAGAGGACUUGAGAGAUGGAAGCUGGAAUCAUCUGAAGGUUUAUUCAGUCAUGUGUCUGGAGGUUGAUGUGGCUAUUGGUUGGAGGUCUUAGUUCCCCUCCAUGUGAGCGUCUCUGUCUCAUCUCUCUGUGUGGGAUAGUUUAGGCUCCCCCGCAGAAUGGUGUUGGCUUCUGCCAGAGUAAGUGUACCCCAAAACAGAGAGAGCCAGGAGGAUGCUGUAUCUUCUUUUAUGACCUUGCGUGGGAGGUCACACAGCAUCACUUCCACUCAGCACUGUGCUCAUAAUUCCACCCAAAUUCAAAGAGAGGGAACAUAGUCCCAUUUCUAGGUAGGAAGAAAGUCAACAUUACAUUGUGAGAAAAGCUUGUGGGGAUGGGAGAUUUUCUUGUCUCCAUGUAGGAAAACAACAAAACAAACCAUCUGCUACAGUAGCUUAGAUGUAUUUCCAAAUCAGUCUGGAGUCUUGUAUAGUGUCCUGUGUUAAACAUGUACUAAAAUUUAUUCGACCUUCUGCUUCUUAGUGGACAUUCAGAUGGCCUCCUUUUUUUUCUUAAUAUAAAAAAUGCAGGAACAAAUAUCUUUGCUAAUGUAAUUUUGGGCAUCUGUGUGUUUUUGUAGAUUUGUAUCCUAGAAAUAGAAAUUUGGGGCUAAAAAGUAUACAUAUCAGAUAGUGCAAAAUUGCCCUCCUUAAAAAGCUGUUCUAAACUUUGCCCCACAGGGUAUAGAUAGAUGGCCUGUAUCAUUACAUCCUUAUGAGGACAAAUAGUUUUGAUUUUUGUAUAUAUGUAGUGCAAAACAGAUUCUAGUGGUUGUUUUUAAUUUGCAUUUGCCUGCUAACUAGAGAGAUUGAGUAUUUUCUUCUGAGUUUGUGCUUCUUUUGUUUUUUUUUAAAUUUUUUAAGUGCUUUUUUAAAUUUAUUUUUGAGAGAGAGAGAGAGAAACAGAGACAGAGACAGAGAGAGAGAGAGACAGAGAGUGAGUGGGGGAGGGGCAGACAGAGAGGAACCCGGAAUCUGAAAUAGGUAUGCUUAUUGUCUCUUAAUAUAAUUUGGCCAUUUUUUUAUUAUAGAUUGAAAUAAUUGUUAUAUAUUACAUAUAUUAAUCUUUUCCUGGUUGUAUGUGUUGUAGUUGACUCUAACUCUGUUACUUGUCUUCUAAAUUAGUUUGUGUAUCUUUGUCUUAAGAGAGUUUAUAAGUUGUAUGAUGUAGUCAUAUGCAGUCACAUAAGUUGUGAUGUUCUCCUCUGUGCCUUCUCAGUUAUUCUUACAAAGGAAAAUCUUUCCUAUCCCAGUAUUCUUCGGUACAUUCUUCCAAUAUUAUUUAUGGCUUAGUUUAUAUAUGUGUGUAUAUACACACACACACACAUACAUAUAUACACAUAUACACACAUAUGUAUAUUUUUAAAUGUUCAUUUAUUUUGAGAGAGAGAGCAUGAGUGUGGCAGAGGGGCAGAGAGAGGGAGAGAGAAUCCCAAGCAGGCUCCGUGCUCAGCUCAGAGCCUGAUGUGGAGCUCAAUCCCAUAACUAUGAGCCAAAAUCAAGAGUCAAAUGCUUAACCAACUGAGCCACCCAGGUGUUUUUAUAUUUGUUCUUUAAUCCAUUUGCAUCAUAUAUAAGUGGGAAAAUGUGCAAAAGACCUAAAGUUUGUACCUAUUGGUGUAUGUUUUCUCUCAAGUCUUAAAUGUUUAAAAGCUUCAUACCUUGGCCAGCUAAGUUCAUGCCAUUUAAUACCUAUUUUUAUUUUCUUCUCAGAAAUUGAAUUUAAUGGUUAGAAUGGGAAAUGCUUUUGUUGAUGUUUUUAAAGGUUAGGGAUAUUGGCAUUUUUAUUUAGAACAUGCAGAUAUUUAUUUUUUAUUAUUAUUUUUUUUUUUAAUUUUUUUUUCAAUGUUUAUUUAUUUUUGGGACAGAGAGAGACAGAGCAUGAACGGGGGAGAGGCAGAGAGAGAGGGAGACACAGAAUCGGAAACAGGCUCCAGGCUCUGAGCCAUCAGCCCGGAGCCUGACGCGGGGCUCGAACUCACGGACCGCGAGAUCGUGACCUGGCUGAAGUCGGACGCUUAACCGACUGCGCCACCCAGGCGCCCCUAUUUUUUAUUUUUUAAAAGUUUUUGUUUAAAUUCAAGUUAGUUAACAUACAGUGUGAUUUUAGUUUCAAGUGUUCACUGUAGUGAUUCAGCACAUCCAUACAUCAUCCAGUGCUCAUCAUGACAAGAGCACUCCUUAAUCUGCAUCAUCUAUUCCUUCCUUCCUUUCUUUUUUUUUUACUUUCUAUAAUUUAUUUAUUUUUUAUAAUUUACAUCCAAGUUAGUUAGCACAUGGUGCAACAAUGAUUUCAGGAGUAGAUUCCUUAAGCCCCUUACCCAUUUAGCCCAUCCCCCCUCCCACAACCCCUCCAGCAACCCCGUUUGUUCUCUAUAUUUAAGAUUCCCUCAUGUUUUGUUCCCCUCCUUAUUUUUAUAUUAUUUUUGCUUCCCUUCCCUUAUGUUCAUCUGUUUUGUAUCUUAAAAGUCCUCAUAUGAGUGAAGUCAUAUGAUAUUUGUCUUUCUCUGACUAAAUUUCGCUUAGCAUAAUGCCCUCUGGUUCCAUCCACAUAGUUGGAAAUGGCAAGAUUUCAUUCUUUCUGAUUGCCGAGUAAUACUCCAUUGUAUAUAGAUACCACAUCUUUAUCCAUUCAUCAACCGAUAGGCAUUUGGGCUCUUUCCAUACUUUGGCUAUUGUUGGUAGUGCUGCUAUAAACAUUGGGGUGCACGUGCCCCUUCGAAACAGCACCCUGUAUCCCUUGGAUAAAUACCUAGUAGUGCAAUUGCUGAGUCAUAGGGUAGUUCUAUUUUUAAUUUUUUGAGGAACUUCCAUACUGAUUUCCAGAGUGGCUGCACCAGUUUUCAUUCCCACAAGCAGUGCAAAAGAGAUCCUCUUUCUCCGCAUCCUCGCCAACAUCUGUUGUUGCCUGAAUUGUUAGUGUUAGCCAUUCUGACAGGUGUGAGGUGGUUUCUCAUUGUGGUUUUGAUUUGUAUUUCCUGGAUGAUGAGUGAUGUUGAGCAUUUUUGCAUCAUCUAUUUAACCCAUCCCCCCACCCUCGUGCCUUUGGUAACCAUCAGUUGGUAGAACAUGCAGAUGUUUAUAAGAAGCUGGCUGGAAGAGGACAUGGUGUUCAAGUAAAGAAGGUACUUACUAGCACAACAGUAAGACCUCCACCCAUCAACCAUAUGCUUUAGGUCUGGGUUAUCUUUUACCUAGUUUGUGCGAGAAAUAGGGUGUCCUUAUUUCUAUUCUGUAGUCCACAUUUCACUGUUCUGAAUUAUCCUUUCAGUUUUUUUGUUGAAUCAAUGGGCCCUUGAGAGAAUCACACACACAGAAAAAUCUCUGAUCAGGGGUAAAAGCUAUUUAUAGUAGGACCUUUAAAAUUGUUUUCAGUCAGAGAAACAAGAACUCUAUUUUGUUGAAUGUCAAUGUCCUUUUAACAAAUAUUUUCUGAACAAUGUUGUCCUUGCAUCCUAGGAAAGAUGGCCCCACCUUCAUAAGCCAUACUCAUUCCAUAGUGAAGCUCAGACUGCUUCUCCUGAGGGAGGGAAGAAGGCUAAGCUAUGGAUCUUUUAGUAGAUACUUAGUACCUGCCUGAUGUUUCACAUAUACUUCCACUACCUUUAUAAAGUUGCCAUUAAUAUUCUCAUUUUCAGUUCUAGCAACCAAGACUCAGAAGGUUAAGUAAUGUGACCUAAGUCAUGUAGCUAGAAAAUACCAGAGGUAAAACUCUGAGUCAGAUCUGACUCCAAAGCCCAUUGUGUUAUAUAUUGCCUGUCCUACUCAAGGACUUGGAAAUUGUUAUCUCAUAUUUAUAAAAAUAAAAACAAUAUGUAAUACGUACUGAACAUUUAAGCUUUUUACAUUACAAUAACUCAUUUAAUUUUUACAAGGUAACCAAGUGAGAAUGUUAUUUUCUCCAUCUGCAGAUGCAAAAUCAGAAAUUAAGUAGCUAGCCUAAAUUUUUCUAGCUAAAAAGUAGUAGAGUGGGGUUCCAAGAUAAUAUUGUCCAAAAUUAAAAAUGUAUUUAAUAGAGUGGAUUUACUCAUGAAUUAUAGCUCUGUAAACUGUUAUUACAGGGAUGUUGAUCUUGAGGCUAUAUUGUUACGCUGUGUAACUGUUACACUUACUGCUCCUCCAAAUGCCCCACAGUGCUGCUCUUGGAGGCAGAGUUCUGGCCUGGAUGGAUCCAGUAUGUCAACGUGUGCAUUAUUCAGGUCUGAAGUUAAUCAUCAACUUGAACAGAGGAGUCCGGUUAACUCACCCACAAAUCUGCUUCAUCUUGAGCAGCAGGAUUCUCACCCCUUCUGAAGCAUCUAAUUAAUCUGCCUGGUCUUCUCACUGUGGCCAGAUGAACACAGCCUUGGCAGAACAGAGAACCACCUCCGGCCUCUUGGAAUGUAGGGAAAGAGACAGGGCACCCUGGAAAGGACUUGUUUGGAGGUCAGCAGAAUUAUUGGCAAGCAAUUUCUCUAACAGAGGGAGGGAAUUUGGAAUUCAAAAGUUUCUGCAUUCUAAGAGCGCACACAUUUCAAGGAGGUAAUGUCCAGUCAGGGCUGAUGGUUCAGAUACCCCAUUUAUAGCCUCAGCAUGGGAAGGGGCCUGAGGCAACACUACUGCUGUCAACUCAACUUGUGAAAGAAUCUGUAGAAGAGCAGUUAUAGGAUGUUGCUUUUGGGGAAAUAUCUCCAACUGCAGACAUCUGGUUGCAGAAUGAGUGCCCACAUAAGAAGAGCAGCGAGUCGAGGCUGUGACAGGAGCCAUUGUUCUGUGGCCUUAGCGCCACAUACUUAGAAUCAUAGCCUUUCAAAACCAGUGGCUAUAGUUCAGAAUUCUCUGCCUGGGGAGAAGAGAAGUUCUGAAAAAUCAGAAGUUCAAAAAAAUGAAUAGGCUGUACAAGUUUGCAUAGGAAUUAAGUGAUAAAACUAGACAGGGGACCCAGCAGAUGCUCAAUAAGUACGUGAUGAACUAGCAGUUUUAAUAAAUGCAUCCUGUAGGAUCAACUCUGUCCUCCAUCAUUCUUUCAUUGUUUAAAAAAAAUUUGAACCCUACUAAUUAUAACAUAACAAGUAUUGGUAUUUAAAAUCAUGGCCCUGUGCUAUAACAAGGCUGUGAAGUAUUAUCUGAUUUGUUAAAGAUUAAAUUAUAUCCAGCAAAAUCUCCGGGUCAAAAUGUAUUAUUUUUCUGAAGAUUUGUAAUCCCUAUAGAGAGCACAAAAUAAUUCAGUUAGUCAAAGUCUGAUGAACUGAAACAGUCCAUUCUAAGCAAAUUGUGCAAACAGUGAAGUUUGUUAAAUCCUAAAGCUGCAUGUGGGAUCCUCUGCUGGAUGGCAUGUGAACAAGAUGGAACAAAUAUGGACACCUUGUACCAUAUUCUUUCUUACACAAAGACCUUUAAGUAUAAUCCUAGUUAAAAAAUUAUAAUACAUAUGCCUUAAUUGGUUGUGGUAUAAAUUUGGUUCUAACAAGGGCCCAAAAUAAAAUUGGUUCAAAGAAUAUAGAAGUAUGUUUCUCUUGUGCAUGAAGGUCCAGGCUGGUCUGGAAGUUUUAAAUGUCAGUAAAACUAUAAGGUGCCUAGAAAGGUUGAGAAAAGUCCAUGUGGUUGAGAAAUAUUAUUGGGAAAGAUAAUUUGUCCCUACAAGAUGUCUCCUUCAUCCACAUUUCAAGCCAGAUGUCAAUAUUUUCUUUACUUCCACAGGAAGGGACUUUACCCUUUUCUUGAGGGCAUAUCCCAAAAGUUGCCAAUGUCAGUUGCAUUAAUGUUCCAUAAUGAGAACUUUGCCAUGUGGUUAGGAAAGAUCGUCCUAACUAGAUGGCCAGUUGCCCUGUUGAUAAUUCAACUGUCAUGUAAGAAGGAGAAAACAUAAUGAGAGGUGAUUGGUAGUCUUCCCUAUGGGAAUAUUAAAUAAGAGUUAUGGGUAUUUCUUUCUUUGUGUCACUGAUAGCUUCUGAGUAUAGGCCAUAUAGCUGUAUGUUAGCAUAAUAGAGGUAUCUGUGCAACUGAUCCUUGUUCUGGUUCCAUGGUAUUGAAUUCAAAAUGUACUUGGAAUAGACUAUACUAUCAUAGAGGCUGAGAUAAAUACAUGAAAAAAUGUGCUUGAGUGUCUGUAUUAUCCUGCAUAGUCAUGUUGUGUAGGCAUGACCCAUGAUUGCAUGAUUGUAUCUAACCCAGAUGAUGUGGUUUCUGGGAAGUGUCCACGCUCUUUAUCCAUCUGCUCCUACUGAGAGCCUAAUGGGACUCUCACUCACUCAAGUGUCACUACUCAUGGUUGUGUACUUUAUUAGUUGAGGGUCUGAAACCUAAUACUUCUGUGCGUUGCUAAGUUCUCUUCUCUGGUUUCUAAACAUGGUUACUUUCUCUUGUGUCCUUUGGUUAAGUGUAUUACUCAGGGUUCUCCAGAGAAACAGAAACCAGUGAGGUAUCUGUAUAUCUACAUAGACAUAUAGAAAAACAGUAGAUGUAUAAAUAGAUGUAUAGAAAGAAAUGAGAAAAAUCGUGAUCUGCCAUCUGUAAGCUGGAGGUUCAGGAAAGUGGGUGGUGUAGGUCUAGUCCAAACCUGAAGAUCCGAGAACCUGGGGAGCCAGUGGUGUAAGUCCUGGUCUGAGUCUAGAGGCCCUAAGAACCAUGCGUUAAGAUGUCCAAAGGCAUGAAAAGAUGGACAAACCAGCUCAGGCAGAGAACACAUUUGCCCUUUCUCUUUUUGUUUUAUCUAAGCGUUCAAAGAAUUGAAUGAUGCCCACUUGCAUUUGUGAGGGUAUCUUCUUUACUCAUCCUACCCAUCUAAGUGCUAAUGUCUCCUGGAAACACCCUCACAAACACACCCAGAAAUAAUGUUUUGCCAGCUAGCUGGGCAUCCCUUAGUUCAGUCAAGUUGAUACAUUAAAGAUAACGAUCACAUUAAGUAAAUCUGGUCUGACCCAAGUGGUGUCUGUUAAAUGUCAGUCUCCUUUGUCAAGAUUUUUUAUGUUCAUUAGCACAGGUUUUUGUUCUUAGGAAAGAGUUGGUGGGAGGGAGCUCACAGUGUGACUUUUAAGGACAGCCCUGAGUUUGGAUGAUCCUAGGGUUAUCUCUUAGUUUCUCUGUGGAGCAGACUUCUGCAUAAACUCCAAGAACAGGAGCAAGUCUGCUGACUCAGUCUGUACCCUCAGCAUUUAAUACAGGAUCUGCCAUAAAGUAGAAGCACAAGAAAUAUUUGCUUAUUGAAUUUGUGGUACUCAAAUAUAAGAACAUUUAGAGAGGCUACCCCGGAACAGUAUUAAUGCUAUUUUAAUACAACUUUUUGUUUCUGAACAAGAAUUUGCUUCAAAGACCCUAACAUCCCCUUAACAUGGAUGUUGAAUUUAUCACUUAUUGGUCUAAACUUUUCCAGAAGCUUUUUAUGGGGUAAGAAUUUUUAGUGUUUAUUGUUUGAAACCAAUUUAAAUUAACCUAGUGCUGUUUUUACCCCAGUGUUUAGAUAGUGAUGAUAUUUGAACUCUGUGUGAAUAAAUCAGAAUAAUACCAACUGGUAUAUUCUAAUCAAUGAAUUUUCAUUGAGAAAGACUUUUCAGAGUGAAUUCAAGCCAGUUUAAUGCCUUGGUCAGUUUUCUACAAAGUAUAGUUAAGCCUUUUACUUAUUUCUUAUUUUUCUAAUUCUAUUUUAUUAAAAUUAUUUACUUCAGGAAUAAUUCUCCAUGCAUAAAAUUUAUAAUAAUGAUCUGAUUCAUCAAUCAUGUAUAAAAAAAAUCUUGCAAUAAUGCUUCUGCCAGUCUGAAUUUUCUUGUAUGGCAGUUAUUUUUACCAUGUCCAAUUUUCCUGGAUCUGAUUUUCCAGAUCAACAUUUGGGAAAGAAAAUUAGAUUCUUCUGUCAAUUUUUACUCAAUAGCACAUUCUUCCAUAAUGCAGUUAUGGCCAUUGUCAGUUUUAUUUGCAAUGAUUGUUUCUAGUAAGGGUAAUUUUUCUUGGUCAGUUUAUUAACACGGUGAGAGUUUUUCAGUUGAUUUUCCUUUUAAUUUUGUUGUGUGCAGUGUUAACCUUUUAUAAUUUUAACUUCGGGUUUUUUUUUUUUUUUUUUUUUUUUUUUUUUUAGUAUUUAGUUUUGGAACAAAACUCCAUAGUAGAUGAAAGGCUUUAUGUGGUCAAGUCAAAUGAUGGGGUUAAAAUGGCAGCAUUCUACCUCAUCUAGGAUAAGUACCUACAGUUCUGGUGGAGAGAUAGAGGCAGUCUUUCUUAUACAAGUCUCAUGGCAAUUACUGUUUUGUGAAUUUAUAUUUAGCAAUCCCUGAAGACAAAACUGGGACCAGUAGAACCAAGGAGGUAUUUUAUUUCAAUAUAAGAAAAAAAAUGUCAACUAAAAUGGAGCAAGUUGAAACAGAGUUGUGAGCUUCUUCCUAGUACUUAAAAAUAUGGGUAAAAAUCUGUCAGAGAUGCCACUGGGUUUUCUAUAUGUCCCUUAAAAAGUCCAUAUCAAAUAAUAUUAUAUCAAUUUAUUUUGCAUAUGGUUUAAGGGCAGAUUUGGGUUUUCUCUCCUUUCAGCCUCCAUCUUUCUAAAUUAUAGACAACUAAUUUGUUUAAUCUAUUUUAUUUGUAGGUCUUCCUCUUCUGCUCCACUUUGUCUGGCCCCAACCUAAACUCUUAGGUCCUGUCCCUGGGUUUCUGAGAAUGUCACACCUUCUACUUCUACUUCUGUGUCUCCUUCUACCCCGCCCUUCCCCUGGCUUUUCUGUCCUCAGCCUUCAGAAUUCUGCUCACUUCCCAGUAGCUCUGAGAAGCUUGCCCACCCUGGCCUUCUGAAGGCAGGCAAGGUACUCCUUCAGUGUCACUCAGAUGUUUAGCAACAAGUGGAAUUGGAUCAUCUGGAUGAUUGAUUGGUUUUCAGAAGUUUUAUCAUGAAUAUCAAUGACAUCCAAACAGACAAGUAUACCAUACUUUGUCAAAAUUACACAAAGAAAUUUUGUGUAGCUUAAAUGAAGCCUGGUAUUAUGCGAUCCUUCUCUAAGGGCUCCCAUGCUUGUUGAGGAAUCAAAAUACAUCUUUGUAAAUGUUUAGAAAAAUUCCAGGACACUAAUUAUCCAAGUAUUCCAUAGGUGUUAUAAACAAAACUUGCUAAGGAGGUUUAGGAAAAAAGGAUUCAUGUGGGAGAGUGUUAUAAAACAAGGUUUAGUGGAAAAAGGUAAAAUUAUUAAUUAUUUAGGCAGCUUUGAUAUGUGGUAAAUACAGGUGUAUUUACCACAAAAUAAAUUGUUGUUUAGGAAAUCCUGCCAGUGUUUAGGUUUAAAACUUAUCUGUGAGUUGUAACAGAAUGAGCUUAAGUUUUCAGCUGGCCUUUAGCAUGUGUGACAAUCACAGACACCAAAAUCCUCUUUUUACAAAAGAGAUGUUAGAAAGUCUAGAUUGUAAAGAAAGAAAUGGAAAAAGUAUGGCUAGAACUCUGGUCCAGAGAGUGGACCAGAGAGUGGUGGUUGAAUCCUAAAUUUCCUGGGAGAGCUCAGAGAACAGUGGUGAAGAGAAAUCCCAGGGAGCAUUAGAUUCAUUCAUUCAUUCCUAUCCCAAAUAUUCAGAGUAUCUGUGAUUUGUCAGGUGCUGUCCUAAUUAUUGGGAAGGAAGAAAUGGACUAGACAGGUGCAGUUGGGAUUUUUUCAUGAUUCUAAGUGGAAGAAGCAUCCACAUUUCCCCUUGUUCCCAUCACCUAUUUAUAAUACUCAUUCUGCCUCCAGCUCUACCUUGCAUGUAAAAUGUUAUUUUGUCAUGAAAGAGCAAGUGAAGUGGCCUAGGGGAAGGGUAAUGGGCCUAAUAACCUCUGAACGUCCCAUCUAGCUUGAGCAAUCCAUGAUGCUCUCUAGCUCUUCAUGAGUCAUAAAUCUGGAGAGUUGAUCAUCUUUCCCUGAUCUCCAUGUUACACUGGAGCUGCGGCUGUUCCCUGCGAGGCUCGCAAUUGACAGUCAUUUAAUAAUGCUCCUUCGCUCUGAACCUAGGAUUGCUCACUUUAAAAAAAUGGAUCUGAAAACCCAUAUGGGGGAUUAUUCUCACUUUAUAUGUAUAUAUUUUCCCUCGAAGGUGGUAACAUAUGGAGGAAUAAUUACAGCAAGAUUUUCUUCUGUCAUUACCGUCUCUAACAUUUUUUUUCCCCACAUGGAAUAUUCAUUUUUAAAAUCCUUGGCCAAAAUUCAAUGUUGUCCUUUUAAAUGACUAAACCUUUGUUGAGUUCUCACGCAGUGUAUAAUAUAGGCUUAGCUAAUCAGCCUCACCCAGCUCGUAUAUCAUGGCAAAGUGUUUCUCAGAGCAGCUCAAUCUGGUGGCAAUGAUGAUGAAACUAUUGAAUUUAACAGGCCCAUUUCAGAUGUGCCCUUUCAAACAGCAGCUGUGAUGUCUGUGACACUAAUCUUCCCCCUCCACUCUUUCCCCUUCCUCCUGCAUGUCUCUUUUUUCUUUUCUUUCUUCAUUCUCCUCUUCCUUCUUCCUACUUUCUCCUAUUUCUCUUCUUCUCUUCCUCCCUCUUUGCCACACACACAACAGGCAGGUAUUGAUCCUUGCUGAUAAUUGUCUUUAACUCGUAAAGUGUGGCGAAUUAUGUGAAUUCCCUGCUUCUACUAAUAGUCUGGAUUUAAGUCAACUCUCCCUAAGAGAGUUAGUUCUCUUCCUACAGGAAUGUUGGGACUAAAGGGCAAGAGUUUCCCACCCUCCCUCCUGAUUUAACUCUAGUUCAAUUUCUACCAUAUUGCAGAAUUUUCCCUUACUGCUACAAAUGGAUUGGCCUUCUCAAAUUCUGUAGCCCUGAAUGUGCUGCUUGCUUAUCUGGUCCUUGCCAUGCUCUGUAUUGUGUGAUUCAUCAGCUUCCUCAUGGAUAAAGUUUAAUCUACCUAGGGAAUGAAUGGGAAGAUAUCUAAUGGUUUUGAACUUCUUGUAAGCCAGGCACUGUCAGAAAUGGUCAGUUACAUAAAUUACCUCUUUUAAUCCUAACAACAACCCAAUAAAGUGGGUGUCAUUAUCCCCCUUCUACGUUGAGAAGAGUAAAGUUCAGUGGGAUUUGAAACAUUUGGAUGUUGCAAUUUGGAUUUGAACAAGGCUUUAUUGACUUCCAAGGAAACACUCUUGUUUCUAAACAAGUUUCCAGCCACGUUACCUGAGGACAUAGACCUUUUCUUUUGAAUUACUUAUAUCUAGCAUUGCAUCCUUAUUUAGGAAGUAUCCAGACAUUGUUGUAACUACCUCUGCAUUCUCCAGUGUCCCAGUGGUCUCAAAACAGAUGCUUUCCCCAAAUAAAUAUUGGAUAAUUAACCCAUUGAUUGAUUUUUUUGCAUAACCUUUGAAUAUUCCCAGAUAUCAUAAAUUUUUAAGAUACAUGUAAUGACUAACUAUAAAGUCAACAUAUCCUACCUAUUAUUUAUCACAAAAAUAUUGUUUAUCAUCAUGCCUCUUUCUGGGUUUCAGGUAAUCUUAAAUAGGUACCUUGUAUUUGCUUUCUCCAUUUCUAUGUUUUUAACUUUGAUCUUGUGUUUUAUAAAUCUGAUUUCAGUCCUUAUCACUAUUAGGGAUGGGUGGUGGUGGUUUGUGUCUCGUUAUAUCUCUAAAUUAUCUUCCCCCCUGGAAUUAUUGUGUUGUAGGAGAUAGAUAUGCACAACUAAACCAUAGUAAAAAUGCAAGACAGAAUAUUUUGCUGAUAUCUGUGAUACUAUUUCCUAAUUUCCAGUGCAGUGCUCUAAGGAAAGCUGAACAUGACUUGGACCAGGGAAGUCUUUUCUUCUUCCAUCUUCUCCUCUGAAUCUCAGAUAGUCAAGCAUUGCCAAGGUGGUUUUGAAUGCAGAAUGUUUCUCAAUCUGUUCCUUCCUUGUUCUGGUUGUAGCAGAUGCAGUGAAGGAAGUUAGAGAAGAGUGGAAGGGCUGUUUCUGGGAAGCAGGCCCUAAAUACUUCUGCUUAGCAUAUUAACCAUGUAGAGAGUCAGAUAGGCAGACAAGAUACAGGAUGGCUGAGUAAGUCCAAAGAAACAGAUCCUGCCCUGGUGGUUUAGCACAUGGGACAGGAAGUAGGAGCUCUGUCCCCAUACUUGGGCAUUGAUGUGUAAUAAACAGUGGCCUUGAUUACUAGUAAGAAAAAAAAAGGCUCUAUGUUUCACACUCUUAGUAAUCAGAUUGAGAGCUUCUCUUCCCCAUUAGAAAUUAGUGAGGAUGAUAGGAAGAAGCCUGGGUGAAAAUUUUCUUUCCAGUAAGCACAUAUUCCUAAAGUUUUUUGUGUGCUCACUGAGAUUCUUCAAAAAUUGGGCAUUUCAGAGGACAGACACCUUUUUUUCUGUUAACUUGUAGAGCAAACUGCAUUUCUCUCUCUCUCUCUCUCUCUCUCUCUCUCUCUAUAUAUAUAUAUAUAUAUAUAUAUAUAUAUUUCUGCUGUUUGAGUAGGGGAAUGGAGAGAGCAACAGUUAUGCACUGAUCCUUCAGGUGUGGCAGCACAGUGAGAUGUAAACAUGGGGAUUUUCCUGUUCAGCAAUGGCCGGGUCAUCCCAGGCUGCUGUCCUUUACAAAGCCCAGAAGGCUAAUCAGUUUGUAUGUGUCAUUAUAAUACCAUAGUGUAGGUGGGCAUUAUUCUUCAACAGUGGGUUAAACAGUGACUGGAGAAAUUAGCCAGAUAGAAGUCAAGGAGAGAUGGCUAUGUAGAUUUGGAGGUGUGACUUCAAGAAUUUGAGGCAGGUCUGAGAUCCAGGACAACAUUUCCUUGAUUUAUCUUGUAUCCAGGCCUGGGCAUAUGCCAUUUGCCUUAUGUUCUCUGUCCCUCCUGCUGGCUGUCUUCAACUUAAUAGUCUACAUUCCUCUCUUGAUUCUUCCCUGAGCAUCUCUUUUUCUACUGUUUCCUGCCUUCUCAAGGCUGGGCUAGGGAACUCCCGUUGUGUCCUUCUGAGGUCCUGUUCUUAGCUCUAGCCUGUAACUACUUAUUUAAUUGCAUCCUCCCUCCCCCACCAACCUCUCUUGGCUGUGAGCCCGCUAGGGCAGCUCCUGGAAUGGGGAUUAAGGUUCACAGAGUACCUUCAACUUGCCAGACAUUGUACCAGACGUGUCCUAUCCAUUAUCUUAAUAAAUCUCUAUACCCUGCCCUGUGAGGUGGAUUUUAUUAUCUUUAUUUUAUGGAUGGGUAAAUGGUGGCUUAGAGAUAUUAAGUAGCUUGCCCAAGGCCAUUUAUUAAGUGGUAGAGCUGGGAUUUGAAACCAGUUUUCUCUGACACUCCAGCCCUUGCUUUUCUCCUGGUGUUGCCCUUCACAUCCUGUGGUAGAGUUCAUGGGCUCUACUGAUUCGUACAUUCACUGCUGGCUCAAUUAAUGUUGCUGUCUUUAUUUCACUUUUCUGACCUCCUAUCAGGGGCACCUGCAGCCACAGCUGAACCUGUCGACUUCUCCCUUUCCCGUUUCUGCUUCUAGGUUUCUCUUGCUGACUAGAAGAUUUGCAACUUGAGUGACAGAGAGUGACUGAUAUCAUCCCCACUCAUUUCACUGUCAAGGGUUGGGCCUGUCAGCAGUUGGUGAAUAAUUUGCCGGCGAUGGGCACUGAUCAUAAAUCGUUCCCCAUUAGCUGUCACGGUCAAACUCACCUCCCCAAGUUGUGGAGUUCCAGAUGGACCAUGUCCUGCACUUAGGCUUAAAAAAAUCUUUCACUACUUGGUCAUUGGAUUUUUCACUCGAGCUGGAGGCUCUCUGAUUUCCUAGUGAUUUGCAUUUCUGUAUUCUAAGAGGAAAAUGUGCAUCAGUCAUGAUGGAGCACAUAUUCCUUUCUAUGCUUAUCAUGAAUUGACACUCAUCAGAUUAGAAAAGCAAUUAACAGCUUUCUUCUCUCCUGAUAUCUAGUCAGAAAAGAGACUGGUUUUGCUUGUUUGUUUUCUGUGUUAUUCUUUGCUUCUUCCUCAUCACUACUCUUUUACCGAAUCUGUUGUAACAAUAAUUUAUGCUUCUUGAGUGUUUCACAGGUAUCAGGCUCUGGUCUAAGAGCCUCGUGCAGAUCAACUCAUGUAAUCCUUGCUAUAGCCCUGUGUGGUAGGGGCUAUUCAAGGCAGCUGAAUACAGCCUCUCUGGACAUGCAGUGCACCAGCCCAGGGCACCAUUCACGUAUGUGCAAUGUGAACAGUAUCCCUGGAUCUGUGUGGUGGCUGUACUGCUGGCACUAUUAUCACCUCCAUCUUAAAGAUGAGGAAACAGAGAAGUAGAGAAGUUCAGUAAUGCGCAGCCUCCCACUGCUAUACGUAGUGCAUGCUGGGCUUCAGACUCCGGCAGCCUGGCUCCAAAGUCCACCUGCUUCUCUCAAUUUGCUGCUUCUUUUAGUCUCUGGGUCACAGUUGAACCUUGGAAAGAAAGGUUUUGUUUGGUGACAUAUUCUGGGUACUCGAGAGUAAUAAAACUUUUUUGCUUCAACACCAUUCUUGAAGAUCUUUCUAACAUGACCCAGUUGACUUCCUGCUCUAGUGAGUUAAGUCCUCAGUAAAUGUAUUUUUAUUUAUGUAAGUGAGGGUCCUGCAGGUGCAUGGGUUCAUCCUGAAACUCUACUUACAGUUCAGAGGAAUUUCCAUGUAGAUGGAGAAAUGUAUAGGAUACUAGAAGAGUCUUUCCCUAAAACUGCACCUAAUUGAGACAUCUGACUUUAAAAGUUAAUUCCUCAUCUCUGUGUACAAACUUCUUUGGGCUCACUAAAUAAUAGGUUUCCUUAUUUUGACUGUCAGGCUAGUUUAUAGCUGACCACUGAGUUGAUUUGGCAGAACCUUUACUCCAAAUCGCCUUUCAAUAUUGGUAAGUGUAUAUAUACUCUGAUGAUGGAAUAGAAACUUUUUUUUAACCAUUGCUUGAUUAUAGCACUGCAGGGUACCUUAUUUCAACCCAAAUUAGAAAUCACUUUACCGCUUGUAUCCUUUCUUAAAAUGAAAUUUCUGCUUUUGGUAUCUUUAUUCACAGGGAUCUCACCACCUCUAAAGAUUGCAGUGGUCCAUUAAAAGAGCAUUUGCUUAGAUUAACUUCUGGCUCACCUAGUUCAUACUACUCUUAGGGAAAAGGCUAGGCCAUCUGCUCAGAGGGCCCACAAAUCACAAACAUAUGGAAAAUUGAUAAAUAGCUUUAAACGUUCUUGUGUGCCUCUAUCAGUUAGGGUCUGAUGCAGCAUGACCCAUGACUCUAAACAUCUACUGUCACAACUAACACCAUUCAGGCCCCAGGGAAAGUCUUUUCCUCAUCUCUUUCUCUAAGUCCUCAAAACACAAGUAUCUGUGUCUGAGUGUCAUGGAGGCUUGUAGAUUGAAUGAACACUGUGGAAGCCAGGGGCAAGCAGUGCUUUGGAAUAUGGGAAGGAUUUGAGCAGACGAAGUAUAUAGUGAAGAUCAAAGACAAAUUAAUUAGCAUGUCAAGUCUUCUCUCAGAAGCCAUGGAGGCAAUCAAUUUCUGCAGUAGGGGUCCAUUUCUUAUUGCUCGUCAGGUUCCACAUCAUGAUUCUGGAGGUACUCACAAGUGCCAUGGCUGCUCAGAAAAUUUUGCCAUAUUAAAUAAUUUGCUAUUUUCAAAUUUGUAUAUAGUUUUAGCUAUAUGUAACAGACAUGGAGAGUAAUACUGAUUCUUUACCUUGACAAUUAGAUGAGCAUUGAAAGCUAGUACAGUGAAUGUUUUUAUUUUUAAAAAAAUGUUUACUAUAUGGACACAUGGGUGGCUCAGUCAGUUAAGUGUUUGACUUUGGCUUAGGACAUGGACUCCUGGUUUGUGAGUUCGAGCCCCGUGUUGGGCUCUGUGCUGACAGUGCAGAGCUGGAGCCUGCUUCCAGUUCUGUGUCUCUCCCUCUCUCUUUUCCUCCCCUGCUCACACUCUAUCUCCCUCUCAAAAAUAAAUAUAAAAUUAAAAAAAAGUGUUUACUGUAUCUUACUAUAUUGUGAAAUUAUUAAAUUCAUUCAAUUUAUAAAGAUAAUAGUUUCAAAAAUUUUAUUCAUUGAUUGUAAUUGAUAUUUUACCUUUUAAUUUUUAAUACUUCAGGAGAAAACUUUAAAAAAUAUAUAUGAAAAUAUUUUUAAUUUUUACUUUUUAUGUUAUAUUAGUUUUUUCAAAAUACAUUAAAAUGUAUAUACUUUGAAUAUAAUUACAUUUAAAAUACAGAUCAUUAUGUUCAGUAAAAUCCAAAUUAUGUGAAAAUACUGAUAACAGUAUAAUGAGUAAUUUAUUAAAAUUAAGUCAAGAAAAUACAGUUGGUGGAAUAAAUAUAUGACUUAUGAAUUAUUAACAUAUUUUUAAAAUAUCACAGGCACAUCCAUAGAACAUUCAGACCUAUGGUAGUAAUUAUUAAUAAUAAAUUCAGUCAUCUUUUAUAUUUUGCCAAAUUUUAGUCAUAAAAAACAUAUAUGUUUUUGAUACUGUGGUUUGAAGGUGCAUUUUCUAAGGGAGAGAGUUAAAUCCAGAGCUUUAACUAUUUUUGUUUGAUUUAUAACUUUUAAAUAUUUAGGUAUAAGAUAUGUGGGCCUUCAGUUGUGCUCUUGCCCUGAGUCCUGCAAAUGUGAUACCUUAGGACCAUAGAUUAAUCUCUGGAGGGCUCAGUCUGCUUAUUUAUAAUCUGGAGACCGUGAUCUUUGGUGGCUGUGGUGAUAACUGAUAUGCAUAUCAUAUCACUUUGUAAAUCCCAAGGCACCAUUCCCAUAUUUAAAUUAUUGUUGUCUAGUAUCACUGUCUUAAAACACUUUUUAAAAUGUUGAAUGAAAAUCUAUUCCCACAUAAUACAGAAUAACAGAAUCUUCAAGUUGAAAGAACCUUACAGAUAAUAUAGACCACUUCUCUUCCUUCCCUCUGCACUUUCGGAGACGGCCCAUUUUAUUCUUUGAUAGCUCAGUUUUUAGAGAGUUGAAAUGUACCCCUCUUUCCAUCUUUGUAAUCUGCCCUUAUCAGCGGCAUCAUUAGUGCUAUACAUUUUUUUGAAUGUUACUUCUCUCCUGCCUUGAAAAUUGAAAUAAUUUUCAAAGACAUAAUAAAUUGCAGUUUAAAGACACUUCUACCUCUUAUGAGUCUUAUUCCCUUUAAAAACCACUAUAAGGGCCCCAUAUCUCUAUUUUCCUUGACAUUAAAAUUUCCCCCCAAAUAUACAUAUCCACGUGCUCCUCUCUUCAAUGUCACCAAUUCCAUGUUGACACGAUCAUUUCUCUCCUGCCUUAUUUCUAAGCUAUUAGUUUAUUUUUCUCACUGGUCAGAGUUAAACCCAGAAUAACAACUUUCCUCUUUGCUCUUCCUCCUUCAGUGCAACCAUGUUCAUCAGCAAGACAAGCUGAAGGUGUAUCAGAUCCUGUACCUUUAAUAUAAUUCUAUCACUUCUUUUGUUGAUGAAGAUUGUGCAUAUAUAAGCAGCCUAUGUGAGGUACUGAAAUGCUGCAUUAAUUUUCAUUUCGUAUAACUGUGAAAUCAUCCGUAUUCCAAUCUAGCAGAUGUCCUGAGCUAUGAGAAUUGAAUGUAGUAGGAGUAAUGGUGGGAGCCCUAUGAUAAGUUAGAGAGAAUUCUAAAUAUUUGUUUUAGUAAAAUUCCUGCCCAAACCUUGAAACACUGUUUGCCCCUCCCCACUACAGAACAUUGUGUCCAAACAUUUACAUUAAAUAAAGAAAAGUACAAUUGUAUUGUAGAGCUGACAGUGUGUGUACAUAACAUUAACUGCGUGGGGUACCAUGGCAGUAGUUUAGAGUGAAGUUACGGAGGUUCACAUUCUCCUCCUGCUGCCUUCCUUCCACAUUAUCAAGUGAUAGAUCAUUUGAAGUCAAAGGUAAACCCUGUUGAGUUUCUAUAUUCAACUUAGGUUGUACCAGAAUUAAUUAUACUUUCUGCUACUUUGCAAAGGAUUGUCACCAAUAAAUUCUAAUAAAUAGGAGUAGAAAGAUUUUAUUCAUACUAUUCCAAAAAAAUUAGAACAUAGUAGUGUUAUUUAGUAAUGCAGAUGUUAUAUUAUUGUGUUGCUUAUAUGAAAAUGGAUAUGACAUGGAGAGGUAUAUCAAAUGAGUAGGAGAGAGAUUUGAGCUGGGCUACUGUUUUGAUUAUGCAUAUUUAUUCAUAGUACAAAAGUUGCUCUAUGGAACCUCUUCUCCUAAGAUAUUUUUGGAAGCCAUAUUCUAUUUUUUAAAAUAUUUAGAUAUGUCAGUACUAUCCUGUACUAUAUUUAUGAAUACGUUAUUUAAAUUGUACCUUAAUUGGUUUAGUCUCCAGAAUUGUAAGACAUGAUGCUAAUACCUGGUGUUGUCCAAGUGAGCAGGGGAGAUAAUGGUGUGGUGCUGUUGGUUGGUUGCUGGGGAAUGAGCCUGCUGUACAUGGUCUGAAAACAGUAAUUGCAAUGUGACUCUGAUUUCUUGUUUUGAGCAUAAUGUUGUUUUACCAGUAGAUCACCUCAUUUUCUAUUAUGAUUACUCUGUCAGGACCAUAUCCCCAUGAACAUAUUUUAUUUUAUGUACUUGAUAGCAGUAUGCCAAAAGAAGAUCUAUGUUAACCAACUGAUUAAAGAAUUAAAACUACUAGAUGACCUCUAUGCACACAUGUGCACACACACACACACACGCCAUUCUUCACUCUCUUUUCUCGUGUGUGUGUGUGUGUGUGUGUGUGUGUGUGUGUGUGUGUGUGUGUGUCUUGCUUGGAACGUUAAUCACAUUGUGGUCAAAAUGAUUUAAGGAGUGCUUUGAAUUAUCAGUAUCAUGACUCAGUAUUAUGACUGUUUCUUCAGUGGAAUAGUCACACUCAAAUAUUUCACGUCUUUCAAAAAGAAAGAUAAAGAGUAAUAAAUUAUUAUGGAUGGAGAAGUUAGUAUCUUCUAAGUUAGUAUCCUAUGUGGGGCAAAUUAGAAGGAUCAGGAAAAAGAAAGGGACACCUGUAGUAACUUUACAAAUAAUUUUCAACUUGGCACAAUAAUUACAUCCAUCUUCAAAACUGGUACAGGUCCUACACCCUUCCACAAGGCCUUAUAACCUUAUACUCAAAACUCAUUCCCACUUCACAUUACUCCUCAUCUCAUCAAGCACAGAAGAUAACACAUUAAUUUCAAGUUUUUCUAGUUAUAUCUCACUUGAUUCUAACAUGCUAAUUCUUCCAAGCCUGCACUAUCUAGUCCUCCAAUGUAGUCUGUGCUGAUUUUUCUGUGUCCAUAAUACCCAAUGACUAUCACAUUUCAUACAGUGGCAGCUCUCCCUCCCAUGUGUCUGUUUUAUGAUUGGUUAUACCUAGCAACAAGGACAACUUAAAGCAUUUUAUUUUUGUGCCAAAAGUACACAUUUGUUUUUAUUUCUACUCCCCACUGUCUUUAAGCUAAGCAGAUAAGAAGAGGGAUGAACCUAGCUGAAAGACACACUCCACAAUUUCAACCCUCUGAUGGUACCUAUAACCAGUCAAAACAAUGCAAAGGGAUUAAGGGCCUUUCCUGCCAUCUCCAGAUUCUCUUAAGACUGUAGUUCUUCUUCCUGUGGGCAGGGGUAAGGUAGCAUUGUGGGUCCCCAGGAUUGAAGUUGUCAAGCCCAUGAUUACCACUUUGCCAAGAUGCCCUGAAGAGGAGGUACAGCAUCUUCCUUUUCAUGAAGUUUUUGAGGGUGUAUCUGUGAUUUUUACAAGUUACUCAGAUGAGCCCAGGUGGUUCACUUCUUUGACAAUUGAACCAUUCUAAUUAAAAAUUCAAGGUCACCCUUGCAUCAUUAGAAAGAUCUGAUAGAAAAUUUGAAAUUUCUACAAUUAAAACCUCAAUUAAUUUAGUGGGAUGGUAGCCACCAUCCAAAGGGAUCUCAUUAUAUAGUUAAUAAAAGCCAAGAGCAUGGAAAAAAGCCAAGGCCAAAGAGAUUUUCCAGGAUUUAUUCCAGCUAUACUUUUGCUACUUCAGGUCCCAAAUCCCAUCUUCUCCCUGGCACCCACACUGACCAUUCCAACUUGCCCACUUUAGGCUUUAAAAGCAUGUCUUACAUACUACAUGUAUUCCUAGUUACUUAAAUGAUUUCUGAUGUAUCUUUGCCUUUUUCUCUCACUUAGGAUGUAAGCAACUUGAAUGAAAGAGAUUAUUAUGAUUCUUUGUAUUCUACAAAGUCACCUAAACUAUGAUUUAGCAAAUACUGAACCACAGUUCCUAAGGGAAAGUGAUUAGAAGUGUUAAGUGAUUUGCUUGAGGCCACCAUUAAUAAAUGCCAGAGUUGUGAUUCGAACCCUAUCCACUGGCCCCAGAACUGGAGCAUCUUUCAUCACACUGCAUUGCCUCCUACUGUCUCCGUUCCCUGGUCGUUUCUGUUUGAGAGCUGGGACAAGAUGGCAGAACAUUGUUUUAUUUGAUCUCCGCUGGGAAAUGCAGGUCGGAGUCUUGAAUUUUUCACCACUUUGGGCAUGUCCCUGCAUGUCUGCAAAUUACCCAAAAGCCGGUGAGUAUUGAUUUGGGGAUUACAAAUCAAUUUUAGCAGUAGGUGAAUUUGCAAAUGCGGAAUCCAUGAGUAAUGAAGAUUGAUUGUGUAUGUCAUAUUUUUUUGGAUGCCCCAAACACUGAAUAUAGCCAUUUGCUGGUAGUGAUUGCUCAAUAAAGGUUUGUUCAGUGAUGGGUUGUGUGAGUCAGCAGCUCCAGAAUCAAAGAACUAGGUUUAUUUCUCAUCCUUUUGUAGUAUACCUCCCAGUGUGUUGAAAGACAUAUAGUGAAGGAGCUGAGAGAAUGGACUUGGGAGACUUAAGGGCUGUAUUUGAGGCCUAACUCUAUGAUAACUGUUAACCCCUGUGACAUUAGGCUUCAGUUCCUUCAUUUGUAAAAUGGGAGAUAAUAAUAGUAUUGGUCUUAAGGAGUUGUUAUAAGAAUAAAAUGAGUUAAUAUUUGAAAAGAACUUAGAAAGUGCCUGGUACAAAGUGUUAUAUAAGUAUUUGGUAAAACAAAAAGCAGAGACAAAAACAAAAACAAACCCCAAUACCAUGUUCUCAAUACCUGGCAUUACUAUAAACUAUUUUUACCGUAUUGCUAAAAAUCUGUGUGAGUUUUCAUUUCUCUAUCCUUAUUGUAGAUAACAACAUAUAAGAGCCUUCUUCAUAAGGAUACUGGGAGAGUACAGUGAAAUCUAUAUUGCAAAGUAUAAACUUAAAGAAAUACAAAAUAGUACUGUGAAACUCUGGCAGUCUCUAAAACCGGGCUGUGGUCUCUGGGGACUGUCCUGGCAGUACUCUGAAACUUGUCCUUUGUGGCGUACCCAGUCCAUGGACAGGUAGCAAUUUUGUUGUGACUUUCUCACACUUAAUGUCUUUAAAUGAGCUGACAGAGCUCCCUGCUGCACUGCCAGAAAUAACUGCUUAGGGUGGAACUGUAUACAUUUCUUCCCUUUUCCACCAAUCAACAGGUUGUAACUUAAGAUAGAAAUGAGGCCCCUGAGUUCAUGCUGGAAAUGGGGGGAAAAAAGUAGGAAAUGAUAGGUUGUCAACUUCACUGAAAAGGUGCAAGGCAUCAGAACUGAAAAUAAAGACUUUAUUGCCUUGCAAAGAAGGCUUGGUAGCAUUCAGAUAUUACCUACAUCUGCUUUAAUGAUUCCAUUUAAGCUGUCAUUUUCUGCAUUUACCUUGCAGCAUUCAAAAGCAACUAUACUUACAUGUUCACAGCCAGUGCAUUGCCAGCAUUACAAAAGUGGGAAGAUGGGGUGGAGGGGGGUAGAAAAUGGUAUAUGAUGUAUUUCAAAGAACAGUUUCCUUGCAGAAAAUUAGCAGUAAUUUUGAGGCUACUCUUAAAGUGAAAUAAAGUUUCUUUGGUCAUAAAAAAUGCUGACACUGAACGGAAGAGAAAGUGGUAGGGGGACUAAAUUCACGCUCCUGUCCUUUCUCCCUCUACCCUUUUGCUAUUUGCUAGACACCUGGUCAAGCACUUCAAUGGGAAGGGCAAGGAAUCUGGGGACAGGGUCACCUUGGUUUUAUUCCCACCAUGAUCAGUCCUGAUUGAUAAAGGGACCAAAUAAUAGUGGUUUUCCUUGAGAUUCACUUGGCUGCUUCUGGAAUGGGGGUGAGAAGGUCCCAAGAUUUUCUCAGUGCUCCUCAGAAGCCCCACAGUGAUUGACAAUCUAGAAAUGCAAAUCAUGGGGCACCUGGGUGGCUCAGUUGGUUAAGCUUCCAACUUCGGCUCAGGUCAUGAUCUCACGGUUUGUGAGUUCAAGCCCCGCAUCAGGCUCUCUGCUGUCAGCAUGGAACCUGCUUCAGAUCCUCUGUCUCCUUGUCUCUCUGCCCCUCCCUGCUCAUGCUCUUUCCCUCUCUCAAAGAUAAAUAAACAUUAAAAAAAAAAAAAGAAAUGCAAAUCACCUUGAAUAUAGCACUUUUGUUAUGGCUGGUCAAAUAUUCUCAAUCAGAUGCUAUAAUUUCUUCUCUAAAUAGGCUUCAUUUUUCAAGUUCCCCCUUAAAUCUUACCACCACUGCUUCUGAUGCCAUUAACCCCCAGAAGUCUCUUCCUCCUCCUGGUUCCUAUGGUUUUGGUUAACUUGACUCUGGGUCUCUACUUUGCGUGCUGAACUAGGGCAUUUGUUUACUUGUUUCUGUAUCUACAUUCAUUUUCUUAGGUCUGCAGGUAAAAUUUAAUUUUGUGAAUUCAGAGUUACACUUUUUGGGGCCACUCAUGACUCCUGCAUGGCACAUUUUAAACAGGAGGUAUUUCACACAGUAAUAGUCUGUUUGCUGAUUUUUACUAAAGGUGAAUUCCAAAUCCACACAGUUUAUAUGACUAUGUCUGUUUACUUUUUGGACUCCUUCUCUUGUCUGUUUUUCCUGUUAGGGGAUUCUACCCACAUUAAGUUUCCAAGUGGUUUCAAAUUCAUUAUGUUAGUGCUCCAAAUAAACUUGAGCUAACAAUUCAGAUCAAGCAAACUUGGGUUCAUAGAAAGAACACUGAGGACUAAGCUGACCUGGCCCAUCUGCCCAUUGUUUUCCACUGUAAGCCUCUUCAGGACCAGGUAAUAGUGAAGCCAACUGUAUGGUCUUCCUUAGUAUUGAGAACAGAGUGCUCAGGAUUAUAAAGUGGAACUUCAUAAAUUUCUUUUUAAUAAAUGAAUGCACUAAUGAAUUAACAAACAAAUUUAGCAUUCUUGCCCAAUUUGUUUAGUCCCCUUUAGAUCUUCUGUGAUCAUGGGAAUAAUGCAUAGUGUCCUUUUAUUUUGGCACAUAAUUAAACAGAUUAAUGCUCAGUUGUUAUGACAAAUCAUUUUUAAUCUUUUUUUGAAGGAAUGAAGACUUUAAAAGAGGAGAAAAUUAGGGAUUCUGAAAUAGAUGAUAGGGUCAGAAGCAGAAGCAGAGAGAGAAAAUGUUUAUUAAUGUUACUGCAAGCAGUAUUUUAUUUCAUGGGAGGUGAGAGAACCCUAAGAAACAUGAGCUAGAGUUUAGUUAUGAAUUUUAAUUAUUUUUCUUUCUUGACAGAAGGGAAGAUAUCUUGUCUUAAUUUACUUUUUCAUUUGAAUGCUAAGCACAAUGUCUAGAAUGUGGUAGGUGUUCAGUAGUUAUGAAAGGUAGGCCAGGUGGAUGGAAGUUGACAGCCUAAUGGAGAACAUUUUAUCUGUGUUUCUGCCUCUCUUUCCAGAUACACUUCCUCAUGGGAGUUAGAAAGAGAAAGGAGUAAAUUUUUUACUGCUGCCAUUUUUAUUCCAUAUCUCUGCCAGGUCCUGGCUCUAAUUCCUUGUGUUUGCAAUUCAUAAAAGGACUGCAUACCUCACUCCACACCACUUUCUCACUUCUCAUGAACUCAUCUGUCUUGUGGAGAGAAUUUGAAGAAAUAAUUGCCCUGGAAGUGCUAAUAAUUGAAUGAAAAUUAUUUAGUUUUUCACAAAUAUUUGGCUUUAUCAGAAAACAAGUUCUGAUACCAAGUAUUUCAAGCCUAAUAGAAUUUAAGAUAAGAUUCACCAAAGGUAUUAAUAAAUAAUUUAAAAAAUACACAUUCAUAUAUUUUUUUCUGAGGUCCAAAUAAGUUUAAAAAGUGUGGCUUGAACACAGUUAAACAGUUUGGACUUCGCAGUUUUAUGUCUUUAAUAUACAAGAGACCAUGUGAAUCUCCACAUUUCUCAAAGUUAUUUUCCCCAUGGAACUUUGUUUUUUUAAUAGAGUGUUUUGAGAUGUUAGCAUUCUAUGCAGAAUUCUUUGGAAAAAUUUGUAAUAAGUCACCUCCCAGAGCUCAUUCACAGAGUGAGGGCUAUAAGCCUCAAUCUGAAAACAAGCUGAAAUGGAAUAAUUUUCUGAUUCAUUUUUUUCCAUUUUGGAAUUCACACAGCAUUAUUCAUCUCAAGCUGCAAGAAUGUUGAGCAGUACUUUCCCUUCACCAAAACAAGAAAGAAUAUAUUAAAGGUGUGUGCAAGAAAUUUUGCAGUAAAACCACCUGCCCUGCAUAAUGACUAGUUUAGUUAUUGAUAAGGUUAGAGACAAUAACUCUCUGAAAUCUAUUCUGUGACAUUUCUCAUAAGCGGUAUCCUCAAGUUUUUCAGCUGCUUCAAAACCAUUAAUUAGUGAAGAAGUGUAUUCUGAAUGCAAUAAUUUCCUAAUAAAACCCACGGGUAUCAGACUGAAUGGAUGCAAGCUGAUCAAAAUGUAAUGUUAUGUUUCCAAUAAUCAUGGCGGGUUAUUUGCUUAGUAUUGAAAUUUAGACUUUAAUUUUCUGCCAUGACCAAAAGGAAAUUGCAGCCAAAUAUGGCAGAAACUCAGGAGGCUGUGCUUGCCACAGGUGUUUAAUCAUCAGGGAUGCUCUUGGGGGAAAAUAGUAUUGAUGGCUGGCAGGCCAGUGUCUACAGAUGGGGAAAAGCUAGUAGGGGGUGGGGGGAGAGGCAGGUUAGAAGAGUAUCACAAUCUGGACAAGCUCCAAAGAAAAUCUCAUCUUUCAUUUCACACCUUUGCUAUUUGCUGUCAGUCUCUCUGCAGAAAGUGUUAUUACCUUGCAGUGCUCGGCAGGGGUCGACGGGCAACCCCAACACUUCCCCUUGGCUUCACUGCCUCCUGGAUGGACUUCUUCAUUAAAGCGCACACCACACUUCUCCUGGUUUAAUGGGCAUAAAUAUAGCUACUCAAAAAGGGGAAGCACUUUCCUAUCCAUGAAGAUAUUACAUCCAAGAGACGAAAGGAAAACCUGCUAAUUGAGAAUCGCACUUUGGUUUAAUUACACAGAUGCUAAAAUAAUGUAACUGAAGCGCCUUAAAAAUAUAAUUAUCCACUAUGCAAUGCUUGAGAGCAUGUUUUAUGUUUUUGCUUUUAAUGCAUAUGAUCAAGAAAGAGCCAACAAAAGAAUCGUUCCUGGGUAAUUUGGGAAACUGGGACAUGUUUGGGUUUGAAAGAUGUUUCAGAAAGUAUCUUGCUUUUGGAAGGAAUCAUCAAAGGUAUUUUGUGAGUAACUACACAUAAAAGUCUUCUUCUUUACCUGGAUGUUCUUCAAAGGCACCUGGGAUUAAAAUAAAUAAUAGAUUUUAGGGUAGGCUUGAAAUUGUAUACAAUUAUCUUCUCCAGUAUAGUAAAGAGUAAGGACUGCUAUACAUUUAGAAAGACAUACUGUGUUUGUGGUGUAAUUUGAAGAAGAUCUAGAAAGCGCUUCUGACUGGCUGAUAUUCUUUUCACCUUUCAUUCCCCAACCUUAAGCCCCAUCCUGUUGAAGUUAUUAUUAAUACAGUGGUUGGUUACUAUAUAUUUUUUUCAAAAUAUUUGCAUAGAAUGCUAAUAUCUCAAAACACUGAUAAACAUAAACCCGAUUAUGUAUUGUUUUCUAUUGGCUAGUUUGUGUUUUUAUGUAUGGUACUUUGUGUUUUGAUGUUUAUUUUCCUUGUAGAUGUUGUCUAUUUCUAUAGGUAGUGUUUGCCAUGGGUUAUAGUAAACACUGCCUGAUUGAUGCUAACAUUGUGCAUUUAUGAUUAACAUGGUGGGCAGUGUGGACUAUUGCUAUCCUUCUAAGACAGAAAUGUGUAGUAAGUUAGCGAUAAAGUGUACUUCCAUAUAGCAAUCUAGAAAUGGUACUAAAAUCAUUUAGUGGACCUAAUUCGAGCCUUCAGGAGGUCAGAAACUUGUAGACGCUGGCAAGAGAUGGGUGUAGCCCUGAGAGGGGGAAGAAGGAAGCAGGAUAUGGACUACAUGGAGCUUCUAAGGCCAGUAUGAGGAGGGGAACUGUGAGUGACAUGGUGCAUCUAUAAGCCAUCUUGGUUAACCUCUUGAUAAAUAGGCUGCAGAGGUGGGAAUGUGACAGACAGGGAAUGGAGCCUGGGCUACGUUUAAGCUGAGGGAGGUGUUGAUUUUUCCCUCCACCCAUGAAGCCAGAGAGCUAUGAAGGAGCGCAGGGGUUGAAAGCUCAGGCUCUGGAGUCUGAAUGCCUGGACCCUAAUCCUGUCUCCAUCUGUCACUAGCUGCAGAGCCUUGGAGAAGUGACCCAUCUGUUUAAUCCUGAGUUUUUUCCUUUGUAAAAUAAAGUUAAAGUACCCACUGAGUUGAGGUGAUGUGAUAAUUAAAUGAAAUAAACCAAAUGACACACUUAAAAGAGCACCUCGCCUAUUGUGAACAACUCAAAAAAUUAGCUGGCAUCAGUUCUCCAGAGCUGCUUUGCCAAACCAUGUAUACAUUUCAAACACCAUAUGUGUGAACACUCAGAAGGUGGUCUGUAGCUCUCAGAACCUUGGAGAAGAAAGAAAAAUUCCUCAAAGUUUGAGGAAUCUUGGAUUUUAAUCCAGUGUUAAGCCAGGCUGUCUGCUCCAUUCUCGCUCUACUAGAAGAAGCAGAGCAUCACAGCUAAGAAAUGGAGCUAGAGCUGUACCGGACAUCUCGCAGGUUGGAUAGUCACAGAUGUGUUUACAUUUACAUCUAGAUGCUACAUGGCUCAUUACUUCAGGGUGAGAGGCCACUGCAUACAUGUGCAUCUGCUAAUGAAUCUGGACCUGUCCCAGCAGACUGCCUAGACAGUGCAUUUUUUUGGAUGAUGUGUUUUUGAGUGGAGUUAGGAAAGAAGAAAGAGAGGUAUUUUAUUAAUCGCCAAACAUCUUGAAUAGUCAGUGUUUCUAGUCAACAUUCCCUAAUUUUUGUAUUGAUAGAAUUGUAAUAAUGGCCAACAUUUAUAGAAUGCUUUAUAUGUAUUACAUUUAGUGUAAAAAAAAAACCCACCAGAAACGUUAAUGGCAUCUUUUUUUUUUUUUUCAACGUUUAUUUAUUUUUGGGACAGAGAGAGAUAGAGCAUGAACGGGGGAAGGGCAGAGAGAGAGGGAGACACAGAAUCGGAAACAGGCUCCAGGCUCUGAGCCAUCAGCCCAGAGCCUGACGCGGGGCUCGAACUCACGGACCGCGAGAUCGUGACCUGGCUGAAGUCGGACGCUUAACCGACUGCGCCACCCAGGCGCCCAAUGGCAUCUUUUUAAAGGUGUAUUUGUAAGCUCAUGUUAAUAAUGCUAUUCAUUAUUUUGACACUGUUUGAUAUAGGAGUUUCUUGACAAAGUUUUCUUACAAAGGUUGGUUUGUGCCCUUCAGGUCUUUACUCACAUGAGAACUCGCUGUAAAGAGGGAGGUAUAAUAGUGUAAAGAAAUUUGGGGGUUAAAUGGACCCAGGUUGAAUCUUAGGUCCCCUACUUAUUAGCUGUGUGGCCUUGCACAAGUUAGGCUCUCUGAGUCUCAGUUUCUCAUUUAUGGUAUAGAAAUAUUAAUAUCUACCUUUGGGUCUUUGUAAGAGUUAGAACUAAUACAUGUAAAAUACUUAGAAUAUGGCAGGCACUAAAGGAAAAAAAUUAGCCAUUUGGUAGGUUUAAUUUUGAUCCUUUAGUAUAGUAGCCCUUACACCAGACACUAAGAAUACCUACUAAGUCCUACCCAUAUGGUCCCUGCAUCCCAACAGGUACUUUCUAGCAGCAGACACAGAAUUGUAAACAAGUAAGGGAACGAAGUUUAUCCGUGUUGAUUCUGACUUCACAAUCUAUCUCAGACCUGUUUGCUUCUCUCUUCCUCCACUGUCCCAUCCAAGGCCAGGUCACCCUCACCUCACAUCUCAGCUUCUCUCAUAGUCUCCCAGCUGGUCUCCAACUUAAUACUUCAGUUCUUUCCAGUAUGUUCCCCACCAGUGGUCAGAUUGUCCCUUUUAAAUUUAAAUCAGACUUUGUCAUAUUCUUGCUGAAGACCUGUCUUCAGGUGCCUGUUAAUCUUGGAGAUCCAGAUUCUGUUGCUGCACUGAUUGUUACUUUUUUUCAUCUGUAAAAUAAGUAAAUAGGUGCAAGUAAUCUCCAAGGAUGUUUGCUUCCUAGAUUUUAGAAUUCCACUCUGAAUUUUUCCAGUAUUAGUUAACCUGCCAGAACUAAAAGUACCAGAUUCUUAUUAGUGUGAUUAAUUCUAGCUUCUGUAACUACCACCUUCAUUCCUUAGAGGCUUAACUAGUGGUGUGGUAGCAAAAUUUAAUAACUAAUUAUUCAAACACAAGGGAGGAAAAAAAAACCCCUUGAUUUGUAGCAUUUGCUAUUUUCAUGGGGUAAAUACUCCCACCAUGGCUGAUGUUAAGAUUUAAGUUAACAAUGUUAUGUCAUUCAUUAUUUAUGGAGUUGGAAAGAGAUGCUAUUGGCUCUUCUGAGCUGGUAUGAGCUGUCUCCAACACUCUGUUGGGUUUAAGUCAGUAUUCUCACUUUCGAGUCAAUUCAGUGUGAUCAGUGGGAUGCACUGUGAGGCUGUGCUGCUCACAAUCUUUUGAGGGUCCCUGUUGAUGGAGGCUCCUCUGUGUUCACUAUGUUGCUCCUUAAGUGAUGUAGGGUGUUGACUAGUGGCUGUAGGGCAAAGGUUAAGAGAGAGAGGGUCGUGGCACCUUUGGCUGCCAAACCUAGAAGUGGCAACAAUACUUCUCUCAUUUUCUUUUGACUAGAUUCAGUCACAUAACCACACAACUGUAGGGGAGACUGGGAAAUGUAGUCUUGCUGUGUGCCUAGAAGUAAAUAUGUAGCAUUGUCAGUGACAGAACGUGGCUUCUGGUAACCAGCUGCUCACAUGUCUCAUUUCUUUCCUACACUAAAAUAUAGCUUUGUCUUAAGAGGUAGGUGUGAUCUGUCCAAGAUGAAUGCAGUGCCAGCCUACUGUAUCUUCCACAAUGAAGUACCACAAAUUGGGUUGCCUUAAAUAAGAGAUAUUUUUCUUAUAGUUCUGGAGGUCAGAAGUCCAAAAUCAAGUUGUUGGUAGGACUGUGCUCCCUCUGAAGGUUUUAGAGAAGAAUACUUUCUUGCCUUUUCCAGCUGCUGGUGGUUGAUAAUCCUUAACAUCACCUAGCUUAUAGAUGCAUCGCUUGAACCUCUGCCUCCAUCUGUACAUGUCUUCUCCUCUGUGUCUGCAUCUCUAUAUCUGUGUCCAAAUACCUCUCUCUUAUAAGGGCACCAGUAAUUGGAUUAGUGCCUACCCUACUCUAAUGGACCUUACUUUAAUUUGAUUACACCUACAAAGGCUGUAUUUUGAGAAAGUUUACAUUUACAGGGAUUGGCAGUUAGGACUUGAACGUAUAGUUUUAAGGGACACAAUUCAACCUGUAACAUUGACCUUCCCCCCAGAAGAGUUGGCCUCUUGCAAACCUUUGUCCACCUAAUGCAAUCAAUCUUGGUAAAUUCCAAGACCUGGAACCUAGAACUAUAAUCACCCCAAAGGAGGGAGUAGAAUUUCUUUAACUGUAAAAGUCAGGCCAGCAGAAAAGUGCUGAGGACAAGUUUCUGCCUUGUCAUUCUACAAUUGUUUACUGUCCUCUGACCAUGUUGGGGGAAGAUCUUGUGUUUUCCAGUGUCUGGUUUAUCAUUCUGCCAAAUAUCUGUGCUCUGUCUUACAAUGAAGGGUCUACAGGGAUCCUGCACACCUACUACUGACUGUCUCUGGGAGCUUUUGCCAAUCAGUACUGUUUGAGGGUGCAGCUGUGGGAGCUGCUUGGGCAUGUGUCCUGUUUGCAUGACCCAUCAUCUUAAAAGAAGCAACUCAAAAUCCUGUUCAGUUACUGCAGCCAGAACUGACUGCCCACUUAUGCCAUUGAGCAUUGAUAUGGCUCUUUUUUGGCUGUGCAAGAGAAGAAACAAAUAUCCGUGUACUUCCCACAUUAAAUCAAUAUACAGUGGUUGGGUAAGGACAGGGUUAUGGUAAUUAAAACUCCCAUUUGGAAAAAGAAGAGAUAGAAAACGUAUAGAUAUCAUUGGUCCGUAGUAAAUUGAAAUGUAGGUCAAGUGUUGUGAAGUUUUCUGCCUUGGCAGUGGGGAAAUUCCUGAGGAGACUAAUUCAUCCUCUGGGAGUAUUUCCUUUUAUCUCCUUGGCUACUGUACCAGUCCAUGGAGAAAGAGCUUCUUUCUGUUCACUGUCCUCCCUGCAACAUUUGGGGUCAUCAGAGUUCUUCAGAGAAGCAAUAGGAUGUAACGGAGAUUUAUUAUCAGGGAUGGGCUGAAGGAUGCAGUUACAAAGCUGAGAAGUCCUAUGAUCUGAUGCUGUCUUCAACCUGGAAGCCCAGAAAAGCUGUGGUGUAUUUCAGUCAGGAUCUAUACGCCUGAGAACCAGGAGUGUUGAUGACAUAAAGUCCAUUUUGAGGGGUGAUAUGUCCCCAGCCCACGCAAUAAGGCAGAAAACAGAGGACAGAUUCCUCCUCGUUCAGCCUUUGUGUUCUAUUUAGGCCCUCAACAGAUUGGAUGAUGCUAACCCAUCCUGGGGAGGGAGAUCAACUUUACUGAGUCCUCCAAUUCAAAUGCUAAUGUCUUCCAGAAACACUCUCAUGGACACACCCAGAAAUCCUGUGUAACCAUAUCUGGUCAUCUCCUGAUUCAAACUGACAGAUAAAAUUAACUAUUACUGUAGGCAUUGGGAUAUGUGCCCUUCUUGGGGCUGUGCCGUUUUCAGAAGGCUGAGGUCACAAGGAUUUUUUUUUUUUUUUUAAAUCCUGAGUGGUCAAGGGUUGUGUUAGUUGGUUUAUGGUUUCUCCAGAAACAUACUUCCCUUGAAAACUAAGAGGGUGCUGAUCUGUUUGCUUAAAGUCAGUCUCACAUGCUAGUAACUGAGGCACCCAAGUUUCUUUCCCUGGAAAGUGUCCAAAUCUGCAUUAUUUAUUUGCUUCCUCUCAGUCACGUUUUCUUCUUUCAGCUUAAUGGCAGCUACCUUGAGGCUAUUGGGUUAUCUUUAAUUUGAUUUUUUUUUCCCAGAAAGCUGGCUCCUAGUGGGGCUCUGUUGCUCAAAGCCUUAUUUGAUCUUUUUUUCCUACUCCUUGGAGCCCACGAAACAGUCAAUAUUUGUAAUCCAAGGUCCCAUAUUACUGGACUCUCUCUAUUCCCUUUUAUUUUUUUACAAGCUGAUCAAUUUUCUCUUGAACUUAUCACUUUAUUAUAAUUUCUAACCAAAUUCAGCAAUAACUGUAAACAUAUACUAACACCCUACUCUCCUUCCAACCACUUUACCUAGAGCAACAGGCUCAGUAGGUAGGACGUCUUCCUGUCAGGUUAUUGCCUGUAUUGCCUUUGCAUAAUGUGAAUCACCAUCUUUCCAGCCUCUGAUAUCUUCCCUGUUAUUUGCCACCUGACUUCUAAGUCAGUGCCAUGCAUUUUUGGUCUUUGUUAUAAUAGAUCUCCAUUUCAAAUUAUCCAUUUCCAUACCAGGGUAACUAAUACUACCUGUUGUGAGAGAAAAAACAAAGCAACGACUCUUCAAUUCUCAGUGGAUUAACACAUUAAACAUUUAUAAUUUACUCUGAUUGGCAGGGGAAGGUGGGGUAUGGGGCUCUGCUCCAUGUGGUUAGUCAGGAACUCAAGAUCCUUCCAUCUUUAGUCACUGCCAUCUUCAGCAUGUAGCAUCCAACCUCACCACUGAAGCUUCCUCAGUUUGUAAGUCACCAAUCAGUUUUCCUUACAUUCUUCUGGCUCCACUGAGACACAGAAAGUUGGGAAAUGCAGUUUUGCUAUGUAUCCAGAAAAAGGAAAUGCACUGGUGAACAUCUACAAUGGUGUCUGCCAGUGAUCUGGUUGUUUAUUUCAUUUUUUAAAAACUAGUUUUUCCCUAGGUCAUUUCUGAAGAAGGCAGCAUUAGAAAAUGAGGAGAGUGAGAAGUAUUGACUGGAUAAAAGCCUAAAUCGGAAUGACCCCCAGUUCAAUACAGCUAGCAUUUAUUGGGUGUUUACUAUGUUCCUAACUCAUCUGGGUAGCUUUGAUUUCACUGAGCCACUUCUAGUACAAUAUCUCUAAAUGUCAGCUAGAAACUAAACAUGCAUGGCACCUCAUGAUUGUGCCACUUGGUGUUCUGUUGGUUUCUGGGUGUAGAAAUAAAUCUUACAAGGUGUUAGGAUAAUUUUGUUUUAAUCACAAGAGAAGUUUCUCCAUAGGUUCUUUAUUCUCCAAUUCAUUUGGCUCUUAACCUAAAAUGUGAAAGAAAAGACAAAUAUUAUUUAUAAAGUAAAUCCCUUUUAGGUUUAGUUGUAUCUGUUUCUUGCCCUGCAACAUAGCCACAUAAUGUCCAGGUAUUGGGGCAUUAUGAUAACCAGAUACUCACUGGUUGAAGCUGUGCUGAAUAAUGCAUUAGCACAGCGUUAUGCUAUACCCUCCCCAUUCUCAUUGAAUGAAGUGCUUUGUUUUUAAAAACCUCCUCUGGGAGGCUUCACAAACAACUGCGGUUUAGCUCAUAGAUUCCAAAGAUGAUAGACAGAGGCCUUUUCCUGCAGGUAUAGAUGGCUUACCUUCUGAUGGUGGAAAUCUGAUUAUUGCACCCUCCCUGCAAAUGACCCUGUCCAAAAUCAAACAGAAAUCUGGGAUAUUCAAAACCAAGUGAGAAAAGACUGAGAGUCUAGCAAAAUUCAAAUUAAUGCUGACCUCCACUAGCAGAAUACAUAAAACGGCAUACUUAUUAAGAGGUGCAAUUGAGCCAUUUGGGGUUGAGAACUUUGUGUUGCUGAAUUUGAAAGAAAGAAAGAAAGAAAAAAAAAGCAAACCGAGGCAGCUGCCCUAGUUUCUAGUUGGACACGAGAGUAUUUACUCAGCACAGAACCAGUCGGAGCUAAUGGUUCUGAGUGCCUCUAAUGGGCCUUGGGGUUGGGCAGAGCCAAUUUUGGCAAAAGCAGAGAGGUAUGCCCGUUUGAGAGUGGGCAUAUCUCCUCAGAUGGGACUUACGCUACCUUCUCUCUCCCCCCACCCCCUCUCCUCCAGAGAUUUCAGAUCCUCCCUGCCGAGUGUGUGCGCAGGCUUCCAAAGCUCAAGAGUUUGGAUCAAUACCUCAAAGUUUGGAAGUUUAUGAAAUCUUCCAAAUUGGAAUGAAAACAUCUCCCCGGGUAUUCUGCAGUGCUAGUAAUUGGAAAUGAAACAUCUGAGUGAAGGCAAAGCAUUCCCCAGACCUUCAUCUUAUUUCCACUCAGAUGUAAUCCAAAAUUAACACUUGCUCCAGACACCCAGCCUAUUAGCACCCGGAACGAUUCCUCAGCUUCAACAAGAAGGGCAGAGGCUGGGGGCCUGAGUGAGUGGUGAGGGGCUCCCCCACUUGGAAUUCCACCCUGGUAACCCAACAAGAGACACGUGUUACCAUUUAAUUAUAACGAUGGAGCAGAUGUGAUAACAAGGUUGUCUUCUCUGGCUCUGCUCCUGAUGUCACCACAAGGGUUUCCAGUUGUUGCUCUUUCUCAUUUUGCGCUUCCUCAUUAAUCUCAGCUACUCCAGCUGCCUCCUGCUCUCCUCCCUGACAUGUCUGGUCGGCCUUUGUGCCAGGCGAUCACAGCCUUUCAGAGAAGUGGCUGCAUGGGGCUGGGUCUUUGCUUAGUUUGCUUCCAGCCAUCUGUGCCUUCCUGCAGGCCACCUCAUGCUCCUCUCGAAGCCCUGUGACUUCAUCUUCACCAAAUUAUUGCAUUUAAGAAAAGAUAUUUCACACCCAAAUGAUUCCUUUGUGGUGUCCAUAAAAGGCCAUUUUCUUUGUAUUCUGUGACUGUUAUUUGGAAUUUUCUCCUCAUUACGUUCCUGACUGCCUCAAAGCUCCCUCCUCACUCUUUUGUCUGUUUUCCUAAAUCCCAACUUGAAUAUAGUUAUAAUCAUUUAAUUUUCCUCAAAGUUUGGGCUUACCAGACCCCAAAUCAGGAGCAAAUGAAUGGAUUCAUUAGUCUGACAUAGCCUAGGAUUCUGUAUCUCUUCCUUUGAGAGUGAAAUCUGAGGGUGAGGUGGAUUUUGGUCAAGUUUUAUAUAAAUCUUUCACAAAAUUAAUUGUGUUUGAGAGUUUGCACACAACUGGGCAUAUGUAUAUUUUCCAGUUUGGAGUUUUCUAGCCCUUGUGGGACAGGCAGGUGGUGAGCUCCUGUACCAGGUAUGACAUAAUAGGAUAUAUAUAAGCUCUUUUUUGAGAGAAAACAUAUCUUUUUCUUUCCAGCACUUGACAUAUGAUAACCAGUUCUACAGUGAAUAAUAAUAAACUUCUACAUUUUUUUUUUGAUCAGUUAGUAUACUCCCGGUACUGGGCUAAGCUUUUUAUAUAGAGAAUCUCAUGACAGCUCUCUAAAGCAGGGGCUGUUACACCAUCCCCAUCUUACAGAUGUGAAAACUGAGGCACUGGAGAGUUAAGACUUGCCAAAGUUAUAUAAAAGGUUUCAUUGGACGCUGGUUGGCAACCCAAGCAAGGUUAUUUCAAGGCCUGAUAUCAUUACACAUUUUUUUUUCUGAAAAAGCAAAAUAACUGUCUAUGAAGUUUAUAGUGUAAACAUGGAAGCAGUGCUCAAGCACAGUAGCUGAGAAUUCUGCAUGUUAUGUAGGUGGUCAUAAGGAUCCAGAGACCCAAAUGGAUAUAUUUGCCAGUCUCUUAGAGGAGAAUAUAUGGAGGGGAGAGAGUACUGCAGGUGGGGUGACACCUGAUGUAAGCACAGGGAAGGGCAUUUGAUCACAGAAGAUAGAAAUGGGAUUGCCAUAUCUGUGUCUAGCUGCAGCUCUGAGCAGGGAGUCAGGCUCCUGGACCUUCCUGAAGACAUGUUAAAGCAAUGGAGAGGGCCACAGAUCUGAGGACUAGAUUAUUAUUUAGAGGCUUUAUUAUUGCUGCCCGUUGCAUAGACCAGUAGCCUGACUUGUGCUGUAUGUACAGUUAUAACGAAGUCAGAAUGCAUUGACAUCUCUCAUCCACAGGUGGCAAACCAAGGAGAGGAGCUG